rnacentral:lncRNA from 1 species
CCUACCUCUCUCUUUUUUGUUUUUUUCCUUCGUUCUUUUUUUCUCUUCGACUCUUAUUGCCUCCUCCACCGCCUUCGCGGCCCUUGGCGACGGUAACACGAGUGGUGCCACUUCCUCUUCUUCUAUUUCCUCUUCCACCGGUGCUGGUUGCCUUCAACGAUGGUAACAAGGGAGGCAAUGUCUUCUCCACCUUUGCUGGCGCCGCAGAAGGAGAAGGAGAGUUCAAAGCGGGCCCGAGUGAGGGCGUAGUAGAUGGAGGCGAUGAAGUCGUUUCCGUAUUUCAGGGUUCUGAUGUGGUGCACGAAGUAUAGAGGCGGGGUAGAGAGGCUCAUAUUAGUGAGGAUGGAGGUCGGAGGGACAGGUCGGAAGGGGAGGGGGAGGGGGAGGGGGAGGAGGGGGUCAAGGAAAGAGAAAGAAAAAGAAUAUGAUGAGACGAUGAGGGUCGAAGAAUAGUGCAAUUUUCUCUAAAACAGUAAAAUUUUUGUCAAAAGAGUACAACUUUUAUUUCAAAGAGUGUAUGUCACAUCCCAAUAAUCCCACAUCGGAUAGGAAUAAGGAUAUGAUUGGGUAUAUAAUAGAAUUAGUAAACGCUAGUAAUAAUAACUGGGUUCAAACAUUUUGAGCCGGUGUUUGGAUCUAACGAGUUAUUGUUGCUAGUAGGUUGGGUCAUUACAUUUGGUAAUAUAGCCGGUUUACCAGCUGAAAAUACGUGGCGAGUCUCGGCUGAGUUAGGGUCUAAAAGAUAAGGUGAUAGGCAAUGCCGGAGUCUGAAUGGCAAGGUGACCGGCUAUGCCAAGAUUUAGAUGACAAGGCUAGUGAGACGAGUCUCACAUCGCUUGGUGAUCUUGGGCUGUGUGUAAUUGGAUUGACGAGGACGUCAAGGCCAUAACGGUGGACUGGGUCGUUACAAUAUAAUUUUCAUUUCAAAGAGUGAACGUUCAUUAAACAGUGUAAGUUUAUUUUAACAGUGCAACCUUCAUCUUUUUCUUCCCUUUUCUCUGAUUCUUAAACUUUUCGCUAGCAGCAACAAUAUAUAAUGGACUUUUAAAGAGAUUUUUUUUAAAAUCUUUUUACUUUUUAUUCUUAUUUUUUCAACCUUUUGCAUCUUUGUCCGCUCCUUGGUGAUGGGCACGUCUUUUUUCUUCACCUUCACGGGCUGCGAGCACCUCCUCGGCGAUGAUCUCAUCGCUUCCAUCCGCUCUGCCCUCACCUAGGCCCAUUUCAAGUUCUCCUUUUCCCUCUCCGGUGCUGGCAGAGGCGGCGGCGGAGGAAGCUAGCGCGUUACCAUCACAGAGGGCCGUCGACGCUGAUGGAGGAGGAGAUAGAGGAAAAAGAGAUGACACCGCCCUCGUUACCGUCACCGAGACCACAGAGGCGGUGGAGGAGGCGAUGAGGGUUAGAGAGAAAAAAAAACGAAAAAAAAAGAAGAGAGAGAAAGGAAUAAAGAUAUUUUGGUCAGUUUUUUGAAAAUCCAGUUUGAAUCUGCAAAAUUGGAAGAGGCGGUCUAGUUUUGCAAAAGCUCAAAAUUUGUGAAUUUUUUAUGCAAAUUGGCCUUUAAUAUAUAUAAUAAUACUUAAUAAAAAUAAUUAAAUAUUAAUAUUUAAAUGAUAAAAUAAUAAAAUAAAUAAUACAUCAAAUUAAUUACUUUAUAUUAUAUAAUAAGAUUUAAGUUUAAAUAUAUUAUCACAAAGAUAAUAUUUAUAUUAAUAUAUUUAUUUAUAUAUCAAUUUAUCUAAUAAAAUAAAGAGAAGAACAAAGUUAUUCUUAGUUCCCUUAAGAACAACUUAACGGGUUGUUCCAGAACAAUCCACUUUGACCAGAACAGAUGUAGUUCUUCCACUAUUUUGGUACAAAUUAUGGGAUAAUUGUUCCGGGAUAUCUCCCUUACACAAACAUAGCCUUAGGUUUAUGUAGAGACGAUAAUUUUAAAACCGUCAAAAUCAAGUUGCACAAUCAUUUUAGAAAUAAUAAAGAGCUAUGGUAGCCAUAUAGAGCUAGCAAUCCAACUCGCUAUUCACGAGUCAGCUCGUUUCGGCUCGAAAUGAUUUCGAAAUUGAUCACUAAAUAAAUAAGUCGACACAAACUGAAUUUUUCAGUUCGAGAUCUUAACGAGCCAUACACACGUUCGGGUCAGCAUACUAGUAUUCAAUUCAAUAUAGCUUGAAUUAUAUAUAUAUAGAACUAGACUGUAAUACUAUCAAUAGCACCAAGCUAUUGGUGCUAUUAGGUUUUCGGCCUUUAGAUGAAAAAAUAUAAGGUCAGGAUGAUGUGAGCCUUCUAGGGUUGAGUGAGUUAUUGAUUGAAUAGUAUAAUCUAGUGGGUGAAAAUAGUCAAAGGGUUAAAUCUAACGGCAUAAAACUUGGUAGCACCAAACGCUUGGUGCUAUUGAUAGUAUCCCAGUCGGACUCUCUCUCUCUCUCUCUCUCUUUCUCUCUCUCUUUAUAUAUAUAGAGAGAGAGUCCGGCUAUGGUGCUUGUAAAAGCACCAAGCACUUGGUGUUUGUAACUUUUCCAUCGUUAGAUUUACCCUUUUAAUCAUUUUCACUCGUUAGAUUAUACUAUUCAACCAACCAUCCACUCAAUCCUAAGGGACCACUAUCAUCCAAACUGCACACCUCUUAAUCCAAGAGCUACAAAUCUAUAAGCAGCAAUAACUUUGUACUUUUUAAAGUAUAGGAGCUCAAUUUUUUAUAUAUAUGUUUGUCACGCCUCGGGGUUCUUUUGAAAAUCCUUUUUAAAAAAACUAGCGAAAAACGUAUAGAAUUUUUUUUUUAAACACCUUUGAGAACACCCUGCGGACGUACACAGACCCGCAACAUAGACGAAGAAUUCUUUGUACAAUGGACAGAGUCUUCUUUGUACAUGCACGACAAAGCACUAUAGUACAAAGUCAAGCACACAUAUACAACCACAUAACACAAAUAUUCGAAUGAUCAUUAAAUAACAAUAAUCUCAUAACAAUAAUUAUUUACAUUUAUUCAUUGACAUAAUGUAAGGACUGAGAUUUUUGCAGUGUAGCUAAACUCUCAGUUGACGNGUGGAUUGAGUGAAGAGAGAAGAAAAGAUGGUAAUUGAUUUUUCUUUUUUUUUUCUUUUCUGUUUGUAAUCGGGUCAAAUGGACUGGGUGUGGUGAGUUGAGUAGAGUAAUCUUUUAUUUUUGGUUGGAUUGGGCUUUAUAUUUAGGCAUAAGUAGAUAUUUUUUUAAGUUUUAGCAUAAAUGGGACACUUACUCAAAAAUGUCCCAAACAUGUGUCCCUAUAACCUAAUUCUGUUGUAGUGACUCUAUUGCUGGAUUAGAGCUUGUUUAGAAUAGAAUUUCGACCAGACAAUCUUAUUUUUAUUUUUUGAGAGAGAGAGAAUAAUACUGGCCUUGGGGAGUGCCAGUAUUAUUCGUGAAGAAGAAGGAUGGUUCACUUCGACUAUGUGUGGAUUAUCAGAAAUUAAAUAAAGUGACCAUCAAGAACAAGUAUCCUUUGCCGCGCAUCGAUGAUCUGUUUGAUCAGCUAUAAGUGUAAGGACUGAGAAUUUUGCGGUGUAGCUAAACUCUCAGUUGACGAUGUUUUUGUGUGUAUUUUAAUUACAAAAGCACUCGUCAAGUUUCGGGCGAAAACGAGUUAAAACGGAAAUUCUACGUGAUUUCCAAGUUUCACUUAAAGUGAAUAGUAACUCGAUUUUCCGGAGAAGCCACGGUGUGAAGUUGGCUUCAGGCUCGUAUCGGACUCCGUUCCUAGCGGUCCAAUAGCUCGUUUCGACCGAUUCAGCGGUUCUGGAACUAAUGGCGCUGACGGAUUUUGAGUUCGACGCACGGAUUUCGAGAAAAUCCAAAAAUACAUAUUCUAUAUGUAUUUAGGUGUGUUUUCUUCUGUUGAAAAGAAGGUUGGAUUUUGUCGUAAAUCCGUGGUCGAUCAAGACGAAACGAAAUUGUAGCUUUGUUGUCUCCGUCGUGCUGAUCGCACUGGUGCAAUCCGUUCGCAAAUCUGACUGACGGAUCUGCGGAGAUCGCUCGUUGAUCGAGGAGAGGUCGGUGUAGGGAAAACGGUAUUUUCGCAAAAGUCGCGAUAUUUUAUGUAUCGUUUCGCGAGGGAUCGCACGUGGAGGGGCGUUCAUGCGUUUUAGUCGUACUGUGAGGGUCUCGGAUUGUAAUUCUGAUGUUUGGGGGACCUUUUUGCAUGUUGCACCUUAGUAUUUAUAGCUCUCUAGGGUUUGGAGCCUUGUAACCCUAACCCUAGCCUUGCCCUAGCCCCCAGCCGCCUCCCCCUCCUUCCCCUGCACCUGCUGCGCACGCCCAGGCCGCCGCCGACUGAGCCCCGGCCGGCCAACCGCCGCCGCAGCCNNNNNNNNNNNNNNNNNNNNNNNNNNNNNNNNNNNNNNNNNNNNNNNNNNNNNNNNNNNNNNNNNNNNNNNNNNNNNNNNNNNNNNNNNNNNNNNNNNNNNNNNNNNNNNNNNNNNNNNNNNNNNNNNNNNNNNNNNNNNNNNNNNNNNNNNNNNNNNNNNNNNNNNNNNNNNNNNNNNNNNNNNNNNNNNNNNNNNNNNNNNNNNNNNNCUCCUUCCCCUGCACCUGCUGCGCACGCCCAGGCCGCCGCCGACUGAGCCCCGGCCGGCCAACCGCCGCCGCAGCCACCACUUCUCUCUCUCUCCCUCUCUUUCUCUCUCCCUCUCUCCUCUCGGGUUGUGAGGAGACCCGAGACUGCCGCCACCUUCGGACCCUCCCUCGGUGUCGCCCCGUGCUCCGGCGAUCAUCCCCGCCGACCGCCGCCGUCGCCUGCGCCGCCGCAGCCGCUCCAGCCGCCUACAGCAGCCCAGGCCGAGCUCUGGCCGAGGUGGGUUGCUUCCGCUGCUCGCGCGCCGCCACCGCCUGGGACCUCUCCCGUCGACAUCCCCCGUGCCCGGGCGCCCCUUCCCGCCUGUCGCCGCCGCCCCGACGCGCCGCCGUCGCCGCCUCGGCCAGCCGUGGCCGCCCCAGACCCGCUCGGUCCGAGGCAAGCCCGCGGCUUCUUCCCCGCGCCGCCGCCGCUCGAGGCCGCACUCCUGGCACCCCUCCGGCCUCCUGCAACCUUCCUCCGCCGUCUCGGAGCUUCCCGGCCGCCGCCGUGGCCGUAGCUUCGCUGGAACCCGAGCCGGAGCUCGUACGGGCUGAGCUUGUUUCCCCGAAGCCGCUGUCGCUUCCCGUCGCCAACCGAGGUGAGCACGGAGUUCCUCACCUCCCCCUCACCCGACUCAGGGCCCCGCGCGCGCCGCCGUGCCACCGGAAGCCGGCCGGAGCAAGGUUGCUCCGGCCAAGCCCGAAAUAGGGCUUAUUUGAGUAGGUUUCUUGUUCUGGGCUUCCUGAGCCUCCCCGAUCUGUACGGAAGGGAGCACGAUGAUCAUAGCUAGUUGCUGAUCAUCGUGCUCACCUUGGUUUCUGUCGGGAAGGCCCCGUUCCGCUGUUUUGGCGAUGUCGCUCCGUUUCAGCCUUUUUGGCUGCUGUUUUGGGUUUGCGCACGCUUAUCCGGCGAUCCAAGGCUGUCCUGAUGCCUCCGGAGGUGAGCAGGGUGAUCGUUGGUCAGUGCUGAUCACAGUGCUCACCUCACUUUGGAUCAGAAGUGUCCGGUUAGUUCUGUUCGGCGCGAUCUUCCCUGACUGCGUGCUAUUCGCUGAACCUUCGGGUUGCUCCCGCGCUUCCCACAGCGAGCCGCUGUGCUCCGGAUCAUGAGCACGGACUCCGGUACGUUGAGACGUGUCAGUACGUGUCUCUGCGGAUUCGGAAGUGCUCGGUUUGCGUGAACGAGCCGCUUGAUCGCUCAAAUUACAUAAAAUGAUGAGAUUUUAUGUAAUUAGAGGGUCUUUUAUGCAGUUGUGCUUUGCGUGGCUACUGUGGGCAGUGUGUGGGAGUUUGUAUUGACCGCUGGACUGAUUGUCCAUGGUCCGUUAGCUUUCGCGGAAAUCGGUAGGUCGAUUUCGGUGCGUUUUUCGGUGAAAUUCGCCGAAAGAACGCGGUUUCGGUUCGGAUUCUUUCCGACGGUGUUUGGUUGCUUCGUGUUUUGUCGCUGAGCCUUGUUGGCUGGUCACCAUCAUCAUUUUGUGAGUUCGAUGAUGAUAGGUGAGCGACGGAGGGUUCCGGUGUCGAAAUAGACACUUCCGGGAACCCGGAUUCGUACGAUUAUCCGGCGAUGAUCGUAUUGUUGUGUGACCUCGUGUUCGCUGCCAAGGCAUCCAAAUUGGAGUGCUUUGGGGCAGCGGGUGACUCGUGGCACGAGUCGGUGAGUUUCAGGACACUUAGUGGGUCCCGACGGCGUUCCGGUGUGGUUUUCGGGACUUCCGGCGAGUUACGGUAAUCGGUAUUGGAAAACCGAUCUUCGUGGAAUCGUUUGUGGGGUUGUGGAUACUGUGAUUAUUAGUUGUGGGUUAGAUACUAACCCGGUGGACCCUCUAUAGGUCAUGUCGAUAUUCUUUUGCAGUCAGGAGACAGACGCGACAUCCGUACAGGUGGGUACUUCGAUCCGACGUCGGCACAGUGGUGCACGCUUGGUGACGGUUUCUUACCCUUACUCUUCUGUUGUUACUAUCGCAUAGUAUAUUGAGCCUUGCACUCUUGUNNNNNNNNNNNNNNNNNNNNNNNNNNNNNNNNNNNNNNNNNNNNNNNNNNNNNNNNNNNNNNNNNNNNNNNNNNNNNNNNNNNNNNNNNNNNNNNNNNNNUAGACAUAUAUAUAUAUAUAUAUAUAUAUAUAUAUAUAUAUAUAUAUAUAUAUAUAUAUAUAUAUAUAUAUAUAUAUUUACACACAUUACUAUGAUUCUCUUUCCUACUUUAGGAAAGAAAAUUAUCUAUUUAUUACCUCAAUUGAAUGACUGGAAAUAGUUUCUGACAUUAGAUAUAUACUAUUGAAAGUAUAACCAAAACCAUUUUCUAUGCAUCCUGUAAAUGUUACUAGGGCUUCUCAAAAUCACAAUCAGCUUAAGGCCAAUUAGCGUAUUCAUUGUCAUGACCUAGCUAAGUAAUGCUAAUAAUUUAUUAAACUCAAACCACCAACCAAAAAUAUUUAAACCCCAAUUAUUAAUACUAAAAAUUUUGGUCCUUAUUUUUUCCUAUAUAUAAUUAAGACUAACUAUUAAUAUUAUUAAUUCUUAUAUUUUUCAUACACGAUCGCUUUCUCAUUCAGCGUUUUUCAUAACCAUAUUACACAUUUCUCAUACAAGUAAAGAGCUCAUGCUUCACCGCGAAUAUCUUCGUAGUUAUUCUAUAAUAUAAAUGUAAAUAGAGAAGCAAAGAGAGAUCUUAGAAAAUACAAGAAAGACCGAGUAGCACUAGGCGACAACAGGAAUAACCAGCAACACCAGGUGACAGCUAGAAGAGUCGUCAGCAAAAAGAGUCAAGCGGUGACAGCAAGAAGAGCCAAGCAACAUCAGACAACAACAGGAAGAGCCGAGCGACACCAAGCAUCGGCCGAACGAGCCCAGAGGUACCAAGCGUCAGCAGAAAGAACCGAGUGGCACCAAGCGACAACAAGAAGAGCUGAGCCGCACCAGGCGUCGGCAGAAAGAGCCGAGUAGCGCCGGACGUCAGCAGAAAGAACCAAGCGGCACCGAGCGACAACAGGAAUAGCCGAGCAGGCAUCAGCAGGAAGAGCCGAGCAGCACCGGGCGACAAUAGGAAGAGCCGAGCAGCACUAGGCGACAGUAGGAGCCGUGCAGCACCGGAGAGAGCAGGGCAGCACUAGGCGGCAGCAGGAAGGGCAACACCGGGGGAGCAAUAGGAAGAGCUGAGCGAAACCAAGGAAGGUCAUGCGACACCAGGGAAGAGAUCAUUUAUGAAAAAGGAUAACCAAAAAGGUUUGACAAAUUAAAUGGCCCAUACAUAUUGUUUAAUCUAACAGAAAUCAAGAAGUUUCUCCCUAUAAAAAGGCCAAAUUUGAGCAAAAACUUAUUAUACACUAAUAGUUGUAAUUGCUUCAUCAAUUUGAAUUAAAAAACAAAAACAAUUCACAUUAUUCCAGAAACCUAAAACUAAACAAAUCUACAAAAUAAAAUAAAAAUCCAACGCCAAAUCAAUAGCGAGCCAACCAAAUCACUCGAUUAGGAGAUCCGAUCUUGUAAAACAGAAGAACAAACAUUUCAUCGAACUAUUACGUCAAUCGAUUCCCCCAAAUUCAAGUUCGCAUGUAAACUUUGAUCAAGACUAAAAGGACCGCAAUUGCCGAUGCCUUGGUUACAUGUUGCAACAUGUACAAUCAUCACGACAAUAUUAAAUUAUAGAUUUAGGCCUGCUAAAGUUAGCAAGAAUCCAAUGUUGUAUCAGUAACUCAUACAUAUGUGCGUUUGUGUGCACGUAAAAUGCAGCAAUAAUGGAAAAGGCCGACAACAUAUAAUGACGAUGAUUACACGCAAUACUCACAUGCUGCAAAUCCUUUGAUCAAGUAUUCACCAGCACCAAUUGCACAACAACCAACUACGUACGCAAGGAGCUCGACAGGGAUCCUUUGAUGAAGCCCGGCAACUUGAGACGUACAUUGCGGCUAAUACAACACGGCCAUCAAUCUGCUAGAGGCUUGGAAAUUUAAUAGCAAUAAUAACAUAACCAAAUAAUUAAUAAUACAUUUUAACAUAGCUUUAAGAGGAGGACUAAGUAACAAAAUAUAGAAAAAAUAUCCAAAAUCGUAAGCAGAAGGGCUUAAAACCAACAUAUCUUUAAGUUCAAUACUUAUAUAUAGCUAGCAUCCCCCGUAGAGAGGGUUCAGAGCAACUUAUAUAUAUAUGUAAACUCAUUUGUAGCCUCUGAUUUUUUUUUUUUUUUUUACAAAAUACUACCCAAAUGUACCGUAUGCAUACCACACAAAACCAAGUGGAAAUCUUUUCCGACGCAAAUUUAGGUUACACAGAUAACACAAAAAUUUCACUAAAUAAUGAUAUUAUACACUUAUCCAGAGUUUGAUUAUGAUAUAGAAGGAGAUUAGGAUUUACCUCGACAAUAGCAGCUGGAAGAAGAAGAGGAGGCAAGCGAAGCGAGCAGAGGCAAUGCCAGGGAGGCGGAGGGGAUGCGAGAGAGGAGGAAAAGGCCGAGGAGGAGCCGCGGCCACAACACGUUGCGACGUUUCGGUGGCGGCGACUGCAGUUGGGUCAUCGGGAACAAAUUAGACAAAUUGGACACAUUUUCACAAUGUUUGCUUUGCUUAAGAGUGGACGAAUUGAGGAGAGAGAGAGAGAAAUUAAUACCUACCUUGAGAGGAACAAAUUAAAAUUAGGGCAGACGAGACGAUUUGAAUCUGCAGAGGAAAAGGAGGAAGAGUUGCACCAGCAGAGGUGGCCCUCGCAAGAAUGAGGCGCGCGGAGGAAUUUAAUUAGAAAUUAAGGGAGUCGGAGUCGGAGUCGGAGUCGUCGCCGUCGUCGCAUAGGUAGUAUAGAUGUGGGUUGGGGUGAGGUAAGAAAUUGAAGGGAGGCGACUGGUUAAUAAGGGAGGUCUGCCUGCCUGGAGGCUGGGGCGUUACUGUGGGAGGGGUUUGAACUUUGAAGAAUGGGACGCGCGGUGGGAAGGAGAAAUUCUAGUAUGCAGCGCGUACACCACGUCACCUUUAUCACCGGCCAAUAAUAGCGCGACACCUCAGCAGCCAAUUAAAUGGAGAAGAAAAAUCAAACAGCACUAACGCCGUUUCCCCAGCAAUUUGAAAUUAUCGAAAAUUGGUGCCCGAGUUUUAGCGGGAGUUUUUAAUCUCUCUCUCUCUCUCUCUCUCUCUCUCACAGAUUAGUCCAUGAAAAAAGGGGGGAAAAAAUUUCCAUUGAGAUAACCCAGACACUCUGCUUCCCCGUUGCUUGCCGAGGCCACCAUUGAUGCCACCGUCGCCGACGACGACUCCGGCUGCACCGACGACUUUAUGACGCCAGUCUAAUUGCCGCCGCCGACGUUCUCGCACGACGCCCCUCUUGCUCAGUAAUGCUUACCGACUCCGACCGCGUCCUCCACUUUAAUUUGCUUGCCACCGAGUUCCACUGGCUCCUUCAUAAUUUUCUUUUCCUUCUCAAUGCUCCUUUAUAAUUUUUUUUCCCUUUCCAUCUAAUUUAUAUUCUCUACAUAAGUAGGCUGUACUUAUUGUGCAUGUUUUUCUUUCAAAGAAAAACCUAUUUUUUAAUUCUUAGGAAUGCACCAAGUAAUACUAAUUUGGAUGAAGAUAUUAGUAAAGUGUAUGAAGAAAACCCUCAACUUCAUCGCAUUUUAAAAUUACAGAAUAUUUUGAAACAAUUUUUUUCCCCUGUCAUUGACACAUGCAUCAACUUUUGAUAUUUUGGAUCCAAUAAUUUUAAUCUAAAAAUUAAAAAUUUUACUAAAUUUAGCUAUGAUUCGAUUAAAUUUAUAACUUUAUUUUUUUUUUAAUAUUUUCAAAUUUGUUGAGCAACAUGAGCUGCUAGUUUGCAAGCAAAGUAGUCAAUUAAAAGUCCUAAUUAGUUUUAAUUCGUAGCAUUUUAGCUAAUAAAGUAUGAUAUUCUUUAGCUCUUUUGCAAACUAAAACUCAAUUUUUCUCCAUCAUAGGUUGAAUGGCUGCAUCAAUUAGGAAUCAUGUCAUGGUCGACAAAACGAAUGAUAACAGCAUCUGGGAGUAUAUAAAUAUAGAUGCUUAUGAUAAAAAACUUGAAGUGGGUAUAAUAGUUAAUUCUGAAGACGAAGCUUACAAUCUCUACAAUGAAUAUGCAUUGAGGAAGGGUUUUAGCAUAAGAAAAGGAAACAAACGAUUAGUCGAUGGGGUUCUCCGACAACGAGAAUAUGUGUGCUCCAAAGCAGGAUUUUCUGAUUCUAAAGAUCCUUGUAACUUAAAAGGGAUAAAUCGAUUAGUAACAAGAACGGGAUGUACGGCUAGAGUUCGAUUCAGUAUAAAAAGUGGUGCUUGGGAAGUCACUCAUUUUAAUGAUAUGCACAAUCACGAGUUUGCAAAACAAGAGGAAAGACACAAUUUACGAUCUGGUAGGAGAAUGCUAGAUUCUCAUGCAGCUGUUAUUUCCUCUAUGGUACAAGCAGGCAUAAAACCAAUAAAAUCAUACUCUUAUUUAGCCAAACAGGUUGGGGGGACACAAAAUGUUGGAUUUACUAAGAAAGAUUGUUAUAAUUUCUUGCAUACCGCAAGAAAAGUGAUGAUUGAAGCAGGCGACGGACAAAGUGUCAUUAAUUACUUUAAGCAUAGACAAUUGGAAGAUCCUAUGUUUUUUUAUUCUGUGCAGGUAGACCAAGAGAAUCAAAUGGCAAACUUCUUUUGGAGAGAUGGUAGAUCAAAAUUAGACUAUGAUGCAUUUGGACAUGUUAUCAUUUUUUAUACUACAUAUAGAACUAACAAAUAUAACAUGAUUUGUGCUCCAUUUGUUGAGAUCAAUCAUCAUUGGAAGAAUGUGUUAUUUGGAUGUGCUUUUUUAUUAGAUGAGACCACCGAAUCAUUUAUUUGGUUGUUUGAGACAUUUUUAGAAGCUAUGGGAGGUCAAGAACCCAGGAGUAUCUUUACCGAUCAAGAUCAAGCAAUGGCAAAUGCCAUAAGGAUUGUAUUUCCUAAGUCACGCCAUCGACUCUGCUUAUGGCAUCUUUGGAAUAAUGCUAAAAAACAUCUUGCUGGAAUUUAUGGCAAUUCAAACUUUAAUGCAAAAUUUAGCAAGUGCCUUAGUGGAUGUGUGGAUGAAAUGGAGUUCCAAUCAGUUUGGGAGGAUAUGAUCAAAACAUUCAAUCUUCAAGACAAUGUUUGGCUAAAUAGACUAUAUGAGAUUAGAGCAAAGUGGUGCACUGCUUUGAAUAUGGAUUUUUUUUCUGCAAAAACAAAAUCUACACAAAGAAGUGAGAGCACAAAUAGUGUCUUUCAUCAAAUUUUCGGCACAUCUUUGCCUCUUAUUCAAGUUAUUGAAUGCUAUGAGAAAAAAGCAGAAGAUAUGCGUCAAGGAGAGCGGGAUGAAGACUUUCACUGCAAAAACGGUGCCCCUAAAAGUGUCAUUAGUUAUGGAGGAAUUUUAGAAAAUGCAGCUAAUGUCUACACAAUUAAGCUUUUUGCAAUGUUUAAGGAGGAGUUUCUUGAGGGUGUAGGGCUGAAUUGCAUUGAGGUCAAUGUUGAACAAAAGCUAGUGACAUACACACUCAACAAAUCUAGUGAGAAGAAGGCUUUCUUUGUGAAGUUUGACACAUCCGAUUUUAAUAUCUCUUGUAGCUGUAAGUUGUUUGAGUCAUUGGGAUUAUUGUGCCGCCAUUCUCUGAGGGUUCUGCUUGUGAAUAAUGUAAAUGCUAUACCAACACAGUAUAUUUUGCACAGAUGGACGAAAGAUGCAAAAAAGAGAUUGAUGUGUCAUACUACCGAAUCGUCAAACAAAGAUGAAAAAUCUGCUCGUGCCUUGCGUCUUAGCGAGUUGAACCAUCUUGGGCAUAAUAUUUUUGAUAAAGGCUCAUUGACUGUUGAAGGAACAAAAAUUGUCAAAGACAAGUUAAUGGAGACACUAGAAUUGCUUGAAAAAAGUUUUGGAAGCUUGAAUACAUCUGAAAAUUUAAAAGGAAAAUCAGUUUGCAAUAGUGCAAUUCGUUUUGUUAAUGAUACACAUUCCUCUGAUGAGAAUAUGCAGGUUUUGGAUCCUCCAUGUGUGAGAAAGAAAGGAUUAACUAAUGCUCGAAUCAAAAGUCAGUUGGAAAAGAAGGUUAAAAGGAAGAAAAUGAGAGAAACUAGCCAUGUAUCGCAAUCUCAUCAAAAUCAGAUGUUCAGAUCUAGUUCUAGUACUAUGCCACAACAUGGUGCUACACAAAUGUCUCAGCUCAAUCAAAAACCAAUGAUAUACUCUGGCCAUUUUCAAGGUCCUCAAACUGGUUAUAAUCAAGUUCAGGCACUAACUCCUUUUCAAAUGAUGCAAUCUACUUUUUUCUCAAAUGCCACAAUCUAGUUUUUGAAUAUAUGGUAAGUUCACAAUUUGAGAAUAUUUCUGUAUGAUAAUUUUAGUCCUACUAAAAUAUUUUUUUUCAUAUGCAGGUACUGGGGAAUUCAACUGAAAAUAUAUUACAGUUUUUUAUUUUGAUUUGUAUGGAUAGGCAGAAAAGGAAAGACAUGAAACUGAAGGAGAUGAAAUUGUUACCAAUAGUGGUAGUUUUGUUAAUAUGUUGAGCUAAACAUACAAAUAUACAAUGCUGCAAAAGCUUAUAUACAAUGCUGUCACUUCUAUUUUGUAUAUAAAAUUUUACCUUCAUUUUGUUCAAAUGCGGUUAUUUAAUUCUUUCUUGUUUUGCAAUAAGUUGGCAACUUUGUUGGCGAUCUCAUUGCUUGGUAGCAAUACCUCUGUUCAUAUAUAGUAGGUAGAUCACUUACCUCAUGGAGUUUGAUGAUUAAUAUGGUUAUUGAGCACACAAGCUACUAUUAGAAUUUCGAUAGUCGCCUAUAUCCUCUUCAUUAAUAUGUUUUGUCUAAUUUCUCUCAAUUUGUUCUGGUUGCACUCAUUGCAGCAAGUCAAUAGGCUGCUACUUUAUAUCAACAUUCCAAUGAAAAUGAUGUGGUGUUAUAUGUGCUCUUUUGACAUAAAUUAUUUAAUUUGUCUUCGCAUUGCUCCUUUAUUAAAGAAUUCAAAUUUGAACUAGAAGCUACAUGUAAUUUUUAGCAAAACCAACCAUACUUCAACUUGCAUAAAGUUAAUGCAUUUAAGCAUCGAAUAAAUACUUUUAUGCAAGUUCAUUGUUAGAGUAGUCAUCAUAUAAAAUAGUAACAAAUUAGAUAGAUAUGAACCAGAUGCAAUUAUACAAAAUUGAAUUAUAAUGGCUUGUACCUUCUUUAAUUAUAUACAAUAAGGUUUAUUUUAAGGACUAAUAAAGAAGGAAAAAUAUGAAAUGCGUAAAUUUGAGGACUAAAGUGAGAGUUGGUAGAAAAUUUAGUGGCUGUAGAUACAACUGAUGCAAAUUUUUAUUUAUAAAUUAUCUCAAAGCUUAAAUUAAAUCUAGAUUACCAGAGCCUUUCUUAAAUAACAGAAUAUAUAUAAUAAAACUCAAAUCAAACCAACACUACUAUUGUCUGUAAUUGAAAAAAAGGCAUUUUUUCUAGAAUUCUUACAUUAUGCUUUCAAUUUGAAUGCUUUUUCAUUACAAGUGACUGGUGCUAUCAUACAGAGAUCACAAGAUAAAUUGAUUUUUCUGACAAAUGUAAUUAUUAAGAAAUAAAUUCAAUUCUAAAUAUAAGAUGAAUUGCUAAAAAUUAUUUAAAAUAAUAGAAUAAAUUUGGCCUCUUUAAAAAAAUUUCAAAUAUAGAGAAAAAGAACAACUUUUUUCUUUGAAGCAUUUAAUCAAACAGUUUUUGAGAAGACAAGAUUAAUGGUAUACUUGGAGCUUACAAAAUAAUAAUAUUAAUAUUAACAAUAUAGCUAGAAGAACACGAGUUAUGCUUGUCGAUAAUAGAUGGAGCGCAGGGAGGGCUGGCUUUAGCUAGCAUGCUGCUGUAUCUUCACCUUAAUAGUGAAGAUAGUUGUAAAGGAGAUAGACUUCGUAGUCAAUCUUAUUUGCAAGGGCACACUAUAGUUGGCAAGGUUGGUGGAAUCUUCGUGGCAAGCAAAUUAAAGUGGAGGACGCGGUCGGAGUCGGUAAGCAUUACUGAGCAAGAGGGGCGUCGUGCGAGAACGUCGGCGGCGGCAAUUAGACUGGCAUCAUAAAGUCGUCGGUGCAGCCGGAGUCGUCGUCGGCGACGGUGGCAUCAAUGGUGGCCUCGGCAAGCAACGGGGAAGCAGAGUGUCUGAGUUAUCUCGAUGGAAAUUUUUUCCCCCCUUUUUUCAUGGACUAAUCUGAGAGAGAGAGAGAGAGAGAGAGAGAGAGAGAGAUUAAAAACUCCCGCUAAAACUCGGGCACCAAUUUUUGAUAAUUUUAAAUUGCUGGGAAACGGCGUUAGUGCUGUUUGAUUUUUCUUCUCAAUUUAAUUGGCUGCUGAGAUGUCGCGCUAUUAUUGGCCGGUGAUAAAGGUGACGUGGUGUACGCGCUGCAUACUAAAAUUUCUCAGUGGGAAGAGGAGGUGAGGCAAGACGAAAAUACUGUGGUAGAUCAAACACGUAUGCGGUGGUACGGGCGAGAUCCAAAGAAGACUGCUGAAGAUGAUGCAAUACUUUGAUAAUAGUACUUCUUUUCUUCAGAUAAAACCAUCAAAGAAAAACGAGUGCGUCAAAAAUUAAAUAAAAAUUAAAAAUAUAAAAUCAAGUAAGGCCAAAACCUUGAAUCUACACUGGUGAACACUAUACUAGACGACUAGAAGAUUUAUGCUCCGACAACAGUAUCUCACCCCAGCCAUAGGAUACACAAUUUUUCGCAAGACAAUGCUUGUGAUAGUAAGCCCCUCUUUUGCAAGAUUGUCAAAUCAGACAAAGCAACAAGUCAGCACGGUUUCUACGAUGCAAAUAUAAACACAACAGGGGCAAUCAAAUAGUGAGCAGUGAUACUUAACAGGCAUAGAAUAAAGCAGAAAAUAGAUUUUAUAAAAAAAAAAAAAAAAAGGGUUAACAUCAAGUUGAUUUUAUGUUCUCAUUAUGAUGAGAAUAUUGUAUUACAAUACUAGGUAUAACUAACUUGUUCUAUUCGUUAAUUUCGCAAGCAGCAUAACAUUUUUCGACUUGGUAGCUCCGGCUUUAGUUCACUUGAAGCCCCUCCACACAAGAACGUGCGCGAAUGAGGCAAGAGGCAUGUAUGCUUCUGCAUAUAUUAAUGGAUACUGAGUCAUAAAGUACAUCAAGCAUAAAACUAUAACAAAAGUAAAAAUAUGGAGAAAGAAAAUAAUAUCAAACCUCCAUUGAAAUCAACUAUUUACAUCCUGGCCGGUUGCUGUUCUCUUUCUUCUCCCUGUGCCGACAAACAGGUUUCCUAGAAAGAGUCCACUCAAGUUUUCGUCGAUGCCAACACUUCUUACACAGAAGUGCCCUUCCUGCUUCUCAAGUUUGCAGGAAGCAAUAGCUCCGAGAAUGUUGAAGCUAGCUUAGUUUUUGGAAAAGGGGGUCCUCUUUUUCUUUCGCUAAAAGAGUGCAUCAUUUCAUUCGAUUUUGUGACUAUGAUCCACUUUUUACGUCUUUACAAUUUUGGGCAAAUAUCAUUCUUUAUGGAUGGGAAUGCCCCUAAAGCUCUAGACGAUCAUAUAUGCAUCAGAGAUUCCGCUAAGGCAUACAGGUCCAUAAGAUAAUAUUAUAGUUCAAUGGUGCCAAACUGAAAAAAGUGGAUCAAAGUUCCAAAAUUUAAAAAUGUGCAUGUUUCUAUUGCAAAAUGGUCCCAUUAGAAAGUGAGAUAGAAUGCUCCAACAAUUCUCGGUUUUCCUACGCCUGCAAUACCCCUGCCAGCAAAAUAAUGAAUGGUGCAGCUGAAAUUAUCGGACAUUCCGAUGUAAAUGCUGGCAGGUGCAGGCAUGGCCAGGCCCCUUAACGGGGCCGGGCUAAUCCAAAACUUGCAUCAGGUUGUUGUUGUUGACUCUGCUUUAAAAAUUAAAUAAAUAAAGAAGUAUAAUUCAGAAAAAGAAUUAGAACGAACAAGAUUCAAAAUUAGAAAGAGUUAGAAAGAGCAAGAUUCAAGAAUAUAAAGAGCUAGAACGAGAUUCAAGAGUAAAAAUAAAGCACACAAGGAGACAAUGCUAAUGUCAGUUGACAAAGUCAGGUCAUAAUUUAUUAUACCAGUUGCUAUGAAUAAGUAUAUCGUGAGUGAAACGAUAUACUGAUACCGAAGGUAUAACAUAAAAAGGAUAAGCAACCAAGAGGCCUUGGGGUGUAUAGGAAUCACCAAGCUAUUUCUAAAUUCAGAGAAACUAAAAAAAUGUUGUAAUUAAACUAUCGCAAAUGGAUGGAACACAGAAAAUCUAUAUGCAACUUUGGAGCACUCCACUCCAAUGAAUCAACUAAAUCAUUGUAGCCUUAAAAAGAUCUAGUUCACUACGCAUCCACACAUACCAACUAAUAGAUUGUAGCAUUGAAGAAAAACACUUACACAGAUGUAGUGGUUACAUUUUUGAUCAUUCAAAAAAAAAAAAGAACUGGAACUAGACAUGAACCAACAAGACAGAACAAGCAUAUCUAUAUAACAUUAAAUUAUAAUCAUUUAACUGCACGAAAGACAAAAAUGUACAUGCAUACAUACCCGGACAAAGGGUUGCAUGUGUUCGUUCGGAUGGACAAAAGCCAUUCCUGGGUGUGGAGGGCCGGAAUACUGAGAUGAGUGCAUGUAAAUAGAGGAUGCGGCAGAACCACCAAUAUGAUUGGGAUUAAAAGGUGCCAUCAUGCCUUCGGAAGGUCUAUAACCCAACGGAUUAGGGGUAGGUGGGGCCGACCAUGGUCCAUGAAGAUGCUGAGGAAUAGGCCGAGGUUGCUGUUCUAUAGAGAGCUGAGACCUGUGGCCUGAUCCAAGCUGAGGGAACUCAGUAUUGUAGUUAACAGCAGGAGAAAAAAGUGGUUGCAUGGUAUAGGGACCACCACCAAAUCCAAAACCAGGAUCAAAUCUUUGCAUGUAUCUGAGAAUACAUGGAGCAUCAUUAGUAUGACUUACUACAAGCUGAUGCAAAGUAACACACUGGAGACAAAUCAAUAUAAUCUCUCAAACAUGUUGGAAGUAAACAGGACUCGGACAUUUGACAAACCAAAAAUAAUAGGAUAAAUUACACGUUGGUCUUCAAACUUUAAUUUGUUGCAAUUUCUGGCUCAAACUUUCUGAAUUGUUGCAAUCAAGUCCUACAUCCCAACUCAGUUGGCGAAAUGUUGACAAAUAGUUAAUGUAGAAGUGAUAUAAGAUCUUAAUUAUUAUCGUACAUCAAUCACAAUACUUCUACAUUACUUCUACACCAACAAUUUGUCAAUAUUUAGCUAACAAAAUAGGGUUGUAAGACUUGAUUGCAACAAUUUAGAAAGUUUCAAGCCAGAUAUUGUGACGAAUUAAAGUUUGAGGAUCAAAGUGUCAUGCACCUCAUAGGUUGAGGAGCAAAAGUGUAAUUUACCCAAAAAUAAUAUGAUGACAAAAUGUGAAAAACUACUUUUGUAUUAACAUAUUGAACUUUUGGUUAAAUGGAAAUGCCAGUAUUAAAGAUAUAAUAGUCCAACAAGGACUCAUUGAGUAUACUCUUUAUCCAAGUUCUCUCUCGUCCUACCAGAAAUAAUGCAAAACUUGCCGUUGCUAAGUAUAGUGGUAGCGGACACGUGACGCUUAACCGAUAGAUAAUUUAAGAUAAAAAUUAUCUAUGAGGAGUGUGUGAUCCAAGAAAUAACCAGAUAUGAUCAAGAGAAACAGAGAAGAUAGCAAAAAAUGAGGUAAAACAUUAUUGGAUCGCAUAAUAAUUUUCAUGAUUCUCCAGGAACAUAAAGAUCGAUCACUCUCUUUUUUUUCUUUUUUUCUUCUGGUUUUUAGGAUCUGUCUUGGGGAAAUGCUCAAAACGGCAGUUUGAUAGUAAAUCUUCCGAAAACCUCGAAUUGGUAGAUCCAUUUAGCACUUUGAAAACUUUCAUAUCGUGCAAACAGCUACAAACUAUCUAACGACACAGUAAACCAUAACACUUAAAUAGAAGCGAAAAAAAUUAAAACCAACCUGUCAUAAUUCCUGUCAUAGUCGGGAUCCUUACGAUCCACUUCACGGUCACGAAAGAUUGCUACCCUCCCACCUGCUCUAUAUCUACCGACUGCAGGAUCUUUCUCAUUCGCAUUCUUACUCAGUCUGUUGCCACCUGAACAAGAAUCAUUUAUACCACUUGCGGAAGCACUUUCACAACCUUCAAGUGACAAUUUAGCAUCCGAAGUCAGCUCUAUGGAGGAGCACGGAUCGAGACUCUCAGGAAGCUUUGGCUCAUCAUCUUCUUUAACAACCAUGCUGCUACUGCUACUACUAUUGUUAUUGCUAAAUAUUCGUGCACGUGCCCUGUUAUACUCUUCUUUUCUUUCUUCAACACUUUUCUGAUAAUUUGUUUUCAUAGAAUGGACAUUUGCAUUGCUAGUAUUCUGUGUCCGUCUCUGCGGACGCUGCUUAAUUGCAAGUUUAACAACAGUAUUGUUGUCUUCUUGGGGAAGGUUUACAGGAAUAUCUGCAAGGCGAAUGGGAGGAAAGCGACAUUCUGUAUGUGUUUUUCGGAGAACUACACGAGAACCAGACCCAUCAGAUGAACUACUGUCUGGUAUAGCAACUGACUGAAGAUAAUAAUGCUGAGCCAAACGAUGUGCAGCCAAUCGAAGAUAGGAAGUCGGAAGUGCCUGGAAUUCUAAUUGUUGUUGAGUUGGAUCUCUGAUAAACUUCACGAUAUCUUGUUCCAUCCUAAGAACUGAAAUUGGAAAAUUUUGUUAGGGUGACAGACUAGGAAUCUAGGAUGAAUAAGUGGAAAGCAUGAGAUCACAAUUAUUUUUCUUGAAUACAACUAAUGGAAAACAAAAUAAAGGACAGACAUCUCGCCAAAUUACUAGUUUUGCAUGUAUCACUAUAUUGUUAUCAAUCAGAGAGGGGAGAAACAGAACAAAUGCAAUACUGAAUUCUGAUAAAUAUCCAACAUUAUAUUUCCACAGCUUUAGUUAUUCUUGUUUCCAAAAAUCAAUGGAUAAUUUUAUUUCCCAUCAGAGCUAACAACAUUAUGAAGACACUCUCAUGGUGAAACGUUAAACUCUAAAAUGAUACACCAAGUAAAUAUCCAUUAUCAACAAAAUAUCGUAAUGAACAUGCUUAUUACUUAUUGUUUGAAAAGGCGCGCCUAAGGCGCCUAGGUGCAGGCCUCAAUGCCUCAGCAAUAGCGAGGUGCAGCGCUAUUGCUGAGGCGCGUGCCUCGGGCCUGGGGUGCGCACCUCAGGCGAGGCACGAGGCGCACCUGAGGCGCGUGCCUCGCAAUAUUUAAGUUUUCAAAAAUUUUUUAUUCGAGUUUUCGAGUUGUCGGCGUUUGAAUUUGCAAAUUAUACUUUAACCCGAUAAGAUACUUAAAAAUUAUUAAAAGAAAUCCAAAAAAAAAGUCAAGUUUUCAGAUUGUCGGGUUUUGGAUUUGCAUCAUAUACUAAAACCCAAUAAGCUACUUCAAAAAUCUUGAAAGAAAUCCAAAAAAAACCCUAAAAAAAUUAGCCGCUUGCCCCAUCCUCUCCGUCUCUUGUUCUCCCACAUACUCUCCCUGUUGAGCAUCCAGCAACAAUUGUGCUAGCAGCAGGAAGCAGCGGUAGCAAACUAGCAGUGGCCAGAACAAGCAACCAGCAGCAGUGGCAGCAGGAAAACAAGAAAAAGCAGCAGUGGCAGCAGGAAAACAAGAAGAAGCAGCAGCAAAAACAGCAGCAGCGUCAGCAAGAACAUCAAAUUAAACUAUAUGCAUGCAUUUUCUUUACUUUUUGAUGGUUAUUUUCGAAUUUUUUAAUGUAGAACAUCAAAUUAAAUUAGGCUUAGUCAAUGUGUGCCUCGCCUUCUUGAGGCGCAUGCCUCACAGUGCGCCUCGCGCCUAGGCUCCAAGAGAGCCUUGCGCCUCUCCGCGCCUCGCGCCUUUUCAAACACUGUUAUUACUUGAUGAAAUCUCUCAAGGGACUUUAAUAAUCAUCCCAUAAAUUUAGACUUCUCCGUUUCUGAGGCUAGCUACGAGCAUGAAAUCCUAAACAGAGCCUAGUAGGAAACCGCAAGAAAAGACAACCAGAAAUAAAAUGAUUCAAAGUAAACCUAUCUCAAUUGCAGCAGAAAGUUUCAUAUUUUCUCAACGUCAGCAUAUAAAAUUGUGCACAAUGGGAUAUACAGCAUAAAUAUCAGUCUUCAUGCACGUAGAGCAAAAGCUAGGUUUUUUCUACACACCAGUUAAACCUUAGCUUAGUACAAACAUUUUGUCUAGCUUUAUGUCCUCCCCUACAAAACAUAUUUAAAAAAGAAAAUGUUGUUUUUUGAGGCGCUUCUGUUCUUACCCCCCUUUGUUUUCAAGCUGUGUAGACACUAGCAAAGUUAUCACAUUCCAAAAGGUCAAACAAAUUUCUUACUGAUAAUAGAUAAUUCUACUCUAUAUCCUUGUUCAUAAGCUUCAUUACAUUCGGUCCAAAGUAAAAUUGUCCCCGACGUUUUAAAUUGGGCAUUGAGCUGCACAGAGAAUACCGAUAUCUAAGAACUCGAAGGAUUCAAGGAAGCCCUAAAACUUAUACCUACUUACGGCCGUAUAAGAAUGUAACAUACAUAUCUAAAUUAGAGCUAAUACGAAAGCAACAACUAUUGGAGAUCUUUAAUUAGAGCUUUUGAUCAAAAAUUCAAAGGCACUAACUCGAAAUCCGUUCCCGGGGCUUCUCCAACGCUUCCCUGAGGAACUGAUCAACCUCGAUAACGGCGUCCCCCAAGGCCGCUCCGCCGCGCUCCACAGAAGAAUCCGACAACGUAGCGGGCGCCGCCGCCGCGAGCUCCAGCCGAGAGGCAUCGUCGGCGCCAGGGGCGUUCUUCCCGGAAGAGAGCAGCAAACGACUCACGCUCUCUUCCAAAUCGGCCAUCUCCCACGAGUCGGGAGCGGAAGGGUCGUCGGCGCAGGAGGAGCCCUCCAUAGCAGUGAACGAUCGCCGGUGCUAGGGCUUGGAGAGCGCGAGAGAAACCCUAACCCUAACCCAAAUCGGCACGAGCUCCAUCAAGCGGGGUAGAGAGAUAUAGAUGGAUCUAGUCCUCUAGGGUUUGGGGAUAUCAAAGGGAUGAAGAGAGAGAGAGAGAGAGUUGGGGAAGGAAUCUAGGGCAAGGGCACGAGAGAGAAGAGGGGCAAUUCGCCGUUACCUUUCGGCUACCCAUGUAAAAUUCCGAAAACGCCCCUCCUUAUCCAAAACGGAACGAGAUAUUUAGACGGCUAUUUUAGAAAAUUGCAUGUUCAAUUAUUACCUUCAUGUUUGUUUUAUCGAAACUAACUUUCGAUUGAAGUGGAUUUUGAGUUGAACUGGAGUUCGGUAAAAAUUACUAUUUUUCGUACGUUCAUAUUUAUUUUGUAGUUAUAGAAGUAAAGUUCUAUCAGUUCUGCUAUUUAUUUGGUAGGAAGUGUAUAAUAUAAAAUUAUAAUUUAUAUAUAAAUAAUAAAUAUUUUAAUAAAUAAAAAUAAUAUAAUUAUAUUUUUAUAUAAUUAAAAUUUAAUUUAAAACAACUAAAUUAUUUAUUUAUACAUAAAUUUUAGUAAUAUACUAAUAAAAUUAUAAAGUAAAAAAAUAUUAAAUACUUAAUUAAUCAAUUUUUAUCAUAUUUAAAAUGUACAAACUAAAUAAAAAAUAUAUUAAAACUUAACUAAUCAAUUUUUAUCAUAUUUUAGAUAUAUUAACUGAAUAAAAAAAUAAUUAGUANUAAAUAACAUGGCUAAUUAAUAUUACCGUGCGAACCAAAUACAGAAAUUCCACAUUUUUAGUCAUAGAAUGAAUAGGAAUAAAAUUUUCGGAUAUUUUUUAUUCCUAGUAAUUUUUCAUAAUGCGAACCAAACGCACCCUUAGAUUCAUAAUAACUAUAUAUGCUCAAAUAAAUUAAGGCUUGAGAUAUGAUCCCGUGUGCUUUUCAUCCACGCUCAUCAUACGACCAUGCUUUCCGAAUUGACCAUCGCGAUAAUCAGAAUCAGAGUCACACACGGUGUAGAUUCAGGUCAACAACCAUGCCGCCGAGAUCCGAGUCUCGGUCCAUUCCGCAAUCCGAAUCGUGGUCUAUGCCGUCAUAAAUAAGAGCCCUGCUCUUUGAACGUCUCAGAUCCCAUGGUAUAAGGGUCGGUGUCCACUUCAUAGUUCAUACGACAACAAGUCACUAAGGCACGCUUGUUUCAUCGAAACUAGACUUUGGGUUGAAGUGAACUUUGGGUUGAACUGGAGCUCGGUGAAAAUUACUUUUAUUUCGCUGUUUGUUUCGUAGUUAUGGAAGUGAAGUUUCAUCAGUUCUGCUGUUUGUUUGGUAGAAUAUGUAUAAUAUAAAACUAUAAUUUAUAUAUAAAUAAUAAAUAUUUUAAUACAUAAAAAUAAUAUAAUUAUAUUUUUAUAUAAUUAAAAUUUAAUUUAAAACAACUAAAUUAUUUUUUAUAUACAAAUUAUAGUAAUACAAUAAUAAAAUUAUAAAGUAAAAAAAUAUAAAUACUUAAUUAAUCAAAUUUUAUCAUAUUUUAAAUAUACAAACUAAAUAAAGACAAUAUUAAAACUUAACUAAUCAAUUUUUAUCAUAUUUUAGAUAUAUUAACUGAAUAAAAAAAUAAUUAGUAACAUAAUAAAUAAUUAAAUAUAACUAGCUUUAUCUAUUAUAUUAUUUUAUUAUUUUUUUCACCUCUCUUCACCGUAAUUGACUUCGGCCCACGAUGGGGCGAAGUCAAUUACGCCGUUUGAGGUUAACUCGAUUUUUGACCGUAACUUUUUUACGGCGAACCAAAUAACGGAAAUGGUCGUUUAGGACGAAAACGAUUUCCCCUCCUCUCCACUUCUACCCCACUUCCACCCAAACAAACAUGCCCUAAAGCUUCCUUUGGGAUUACAAUGAUAUAGCCUUAUGUACAAGAAAAGUACGAUAAAAAAAAUAUUUUAUUUAUUUUCAUAUAUAAUAUAUUACAUACGGCAUAUUGCGAUAAGUCGGUUAUGAUAUAUUUUUUACGGUUGCACUAGAGAAUAUAGAAAUAUAUUCCUAUAUGGUUUUACUUAACUCUAUUUUAUCUAAUAGUGUCAGAUAGGUCUCAAUACCAAACUACGCCUAAGAGUUGAGUAGAUUAUUGAAUAGAGUUAAAGAAUGAAGAAUCAAGUCUGAGUUAAGUUUACUAAUAGCAAUUGAUUAAUUGCAUUAUUUAGAAUUAAACUACUAUACUAUUAAUAGUACUAAGCAUUUGUUACUAUUAGAUUGUUGGUCAUUGGAUGAACUGAUAUGCGGUUAGGAUGAUAAUGAUUCUCUAGGAUUGAGUGGGUGAUUAGUUAAAUAGUAUAAUCUAACGGGUGAAAAUGAUCAAAGGAAUAAAUCAAACGGCGGAAAACUCGAUAGCGCCAAGAGCUUGGUACUAUCAAUAAUAUAUAGCGCUAAGAGAUUGGUACUAUCAAUAAUAUAUAGUAGCCGGAUUCGCAUUAUUUAUUACAAACUUUUUUUUCAUAAAUUUUUUAUUUUCUCUUUAAACUUUUUAUUUUUGGCCUUUUUGCAUAAAAAAUUCACUUAUUUUAGACUUUUGCAAAACCGGGUCACCUUUUUCGUUUUUGCAGAUUCGGUACGUUUUUUCAGCAAACUGACCAAAAUACCCUUAUUACUUUUUCUCUUUCUUUUUUCUCUCUCCUCUUUAUUCUCUCGUUCUUUUUUUUUUCACCGAAAAAAAAAAAAGCGAAGGCCAGGCAGGCGUGUCGCCGGAGCACCGCCAGGCGGGCUCUUCUUCUUCUUCUUCUUCUUCCUGCAGGAGCAAUUUUUUUUUUCUCUUUUUCUUUUUCUUCUUCUUCUUCCUCCUGCUGGCAAGUGUCCUAAGAAAGUGUCCUUAUAACCUAGUUUUGUUGUAGUGACACUUGCAUGUACUCAAAACAAAUGGUGCUCAACUCUUGUCCUUUCUCUUUUCUCCGAGAUGGGUGCGGCCUUGUUAGAUGGCGGCGGCGUCAUCGGCGGCGGCGGCAGCGAGAGCAGCGUUGGACACAGACACGACGGCGGCUGUGGACGCAAGGAGACCGGCGUCGGCUUGGGUGGCCACGACAAGGGACACGACAGCGGAUACGGACGUGGCCACGACAAGGGACACGACAGCGGAUACGGACGUGGCGAGACCAGCAGCUUGGUGGUGAGGCCGGCGACUUGAGCGGCGUCGGCUUGGGCAACGUCCGUAGCGGCAACGGAGUUAGACGGGCGGCGGACUGCGCGAUGAACAACGCUGAGCACUUCUCUUCUCCUUUUAUUUUAUUUUAUUUUAUUUUCUUAUUCUUAUUUUUAUUAUUUUUUUUACUUCCCCUUCUCAUUCUCCUUCUUCUUCUCCUUCUUCCUCUCCUUCUUCCUCUCCACUGUUACUUCUCUCUCUUUUUCUUUGCUCACAGUGUGUUUGAGUGGAUGGGUCUGGUCUGUGUGUGGAUGGGUUGUGUAUGUCUUGGUUUCCCCCUCCCUGCUGUGUGCUCCGCUCUCCCCCUUUUAUAGGCCUCUAUUGGACCCAAAGCCCGAGCCCUUUAUCGGCGACAAGACGGGGCACGACCUGCGGCAGGAUCCACGGGAUUUUCGUACGGCAACGAGCUGACGGCGGACGGGUGCGCGAUCUCCGGGAUCUGCGUACGGCGACAGCGAGGUUUCUUGCGGGAUUUUCGGGAUCGGCCGGCGUUGGUGAUGGUGGCAGUGCGAUCUCUGGGAUUCGCGUAUGGGAUGGUGGAUCGGCCUGAGUUGACGGCCGACGGGUGCGGGAUCUCCGGGAUCGGCGUACGGGGUCGCGGGAUCUUCGGGAUCUAGCGGAUUUUGUGGCGGGCUCGCCGGGAUCUGACGGCGACAGCGUGAUCUCUGGGAUUCGCGUAUGGGACGUCGGAUCAGCCUGAGUUGACGGCCGGCGGCGCGGGAUUUUCGGGAUCGGCCGGCCGAUCUGAAGGAGAAGAGUGGGGCGAUCCUCCCCUCUUCGUUUCUUUUCUUUUUUUUUCUUUUUUUUUUAUUUUUUCUCAAUCUCUUUUUUAUUUUUAUAUAUUAAUAUAUAUAUAUAUAUAUAUAUAUAUAUAUAUAUAUAUAUAUAUAUAUAUAUAUAUAUAUAUAUGGGCUUCUUUUGGGCUUUUUAGGCAGGCCCAACAACAUACUUCAAAAUAAUCCCGCAAGGGUUGAGAAAUUAAAAAACUUUUUAGUGAGUAUAGGUCUUGGAAGGCAAGCUACACCAACCGAUAAACAAGGAACUAAGAGCAAUAGUACAAGGUAAAGAAAAGCUUGUUAACACGUACCAAAAAUAAGAAACUAUAUCACUAAUGUCAUGGUGAACUACAUCUAAUAGAAUGAAAGUGAUGUACAGUUUUGCAUUAACCAAAUCAUAUGUUCGUAAAUCAUUGACCCAAUCAUUUUCCUUGACUAGGAGAAGCCUAAGACAACUAACCCUCAGUGCCCUGUCUGAGGAAAGAUAAGGACUAAUGCCAAAUACCCUGUCUAAAAAGAGACCCUGGUGACUAAUACUCAAAUGCCCUGAGUAAGAAGGGUCUCAGCCUAACGUAUCCAAUUGUGAUCACUCUUUCAAAAGAGCUCAUCCUACAAUAAAGUUGAUCAGACUACCAUGCUGGUGAUAGGAGAACAUAGCAUUAAGUGGCGAGUUAGCAUGUUCUAUGGUCAAGAAUAGUAGUAGCGGUAGAAAGUGUUAGAUGUAUGCCCUAGAAGCCAACCAGGCCGACACAUAUAUUCUUUCUAGGACAUAAAUUUGUAUUUGAUUUUAAAAUAUUAUGAAUAUAUUUGGGUCUUUAUUUCCAUUCAUGUUGUGUAUGUGUCCAUGAAUCGUCCAAGGAAUUAAUAAGAUGAUGACAUAUAUUCUCAAGAGUUGAGAAUUUGAGACAUGUGUUAUUGGUGGUUCAUUCCUAAAUGCUCCCGAUCAAUGGAUCAUCACGAGGACGGUUAUUGAUCGGGUGAGAUUGGUGUAUAGGUCGCUUCCCUUUUUGGGUAGACGAGUCUCGAGUCGACAGUGUGGGGACACUGAAGUGAAUAUGAAGGUGGUUGUUAGAGAACAAGGGUACCGAGCGUGACCAACGCGAGAAGUCACUUGGAUGUCUACUCACUCGUCAGUGACUUACUCAAUUGUUGCAGUAGUGUGAUUGGUCCUUUGACCUGCGGUGCCUCGGCUAUUCACAAUGAGGUUACAGUAGUUUGACUGUACAUACACUUGGUCCCUAGCCAUUCGGGUCCUUGCGGUGCAUGUUGGCUGCAGUAGGUUCAUUGUAGGAAUAGGGUGCGCACUUAGAUGAAAUCUAUCUCCCUUGGUAGAUAGGGGUGUUAGUCCUAUGUGAUUUAUGAGACCAAGUUUAGAAGACCUUGGCAAGGGCAGAGUUAAUAACGGAAAAGGGUUUCUGAUAUUAGAAACACGAGUCGAAUAAAUUUAACAUAUGACAGACGAUGGGGUUUGACGAGUUAUUUCAUAACCUCCGUCUAAUCAGGACUCAUGAUAGAAGGAUAGUAUCACACGGUAACUGCACCAAGAGGUUCAGUAUUCAAUUAUACUGGAAUGCCACUACAUACUGCUAGGCGUCAUUGGUGGAUUGUGAGACUCAUGAGAAUUAUCUAGAUGACCGAUAAUUCUCAUUGGGCUGAGUUGGAAUUAUUCCAAUCCACUGAAAGGAGUUUCAGUGAUAUUGUUGAUAGUGAUCAAAAUAUAUCUCACUACAAGAUAGAAUAGAACCUAUGGGGUCACACACAUAAGAGGUUGUGAUUGAUCGGAUAGGUAGAUCGCGAUUAUUGAAUCGCCAGAGGACCUAAUUGUCAAUAUGUUGAUAAUUGGACUAAUUUGUAAUUAUUAUAAAUUAGUGGUAUUAAGGUGUAAAUGUUACAAGAGUGGUCUUCUAAUAGUCAGUAAAUUAUAAGACGACUUAUGUGCAAAUGUUGCAUUAUUAAUUUGAUAUGAUCAAAUUAAUAUAAAGUUCAAGUUGAAUCAAAUUAGGAUUUGAUCGUUCUAACCAAUUAAGGAAAGGAUAAAUUUAAAUCUAGAUUUGUACUUAUCCUUAAUGAUUAUUAUAUUAUUAAAAAGAUGAUUAUAUUCCUCUAUAUGAUAAUACGGGAGUUUUUAGAAAAUUCUAACUGUCAUCUCUCUUCUCCUCUCUCUUCUAUAUUUUAGCAAGAAAAACGUCCUUUUGCAAGGGAGCUAGCACCCCGGUAAGGACAUCGAUCAAAUCAAUAACCUCGUGUGGAUACCUAUAGAGGCCGGAUGUGUGUGUGGCUUCAAGAGAACCCAAUUCCACGAUCAUCAAGUUGAGGUGAAAAUCUAUCCGCGAAAAAGGUAAAGAUUCGAUCUUGCUUUUCUCUUUUAAUCUUAAAGAACAUGAGAAAUCCUAAUUACGUGAUUUUUGAGAUUGGAUCUCGAGAGUUUUCAAAAUCAAAUUUGUUUGAUUUCUUUUGCCGCUGCGUUUUUACCGUACGCAAUUUUCUAACAGAAAGUGUCCAAUACCACAACUAUAAUCACUAACAACAACCGGUCUGGUUAAUACAAGUAAUAAUCUAUAAUGUUUUCAUAAGAAUGAUUAAUUUCAACUACCGUACUUUCUAUGUCAAAAUACUAAAGCGACAAACAACAUGUGUCAAAAUUAAGCAUAUUAUCACAAUAAGUUACAUUGAAUAGUAAUUAUGCAAGGAUUAGAACCUUGGUAGUUGGGCAUAAAGAAGAGAUUAUAAAUAGCUUUACUAACUUUGGAUCAAGUACCUACCUCGAUUUGUCACCAUAAGGUCUACAGCUUAUGUGCAACUCCUCGAUUCAACUCCAAAACUAAGGAGAAUUAGUAUAAAAUCAACACAUUAUAACUUAGGACAUAAAAACCUUAAAAUACAAGUUUGGAUCAAAAAAGGAUUUAAGAUGUUAGUAUCGGAACAUAACCCAAGUUUUGGAACAUGAUAGGAUGUUCUGGAACCUUAUGUUAGUUUUGCAAAGAUAGAAGGUUCUAUGUAGUACACUAAACUUUAGCAAAUUGCGAAGUUCGAGUGUGGGAAUGGUAAUUGGAACUAUUCCACGUCUUUUGAAGGGUUGUAGAGGGAUUUUUGGCAAAUUAGUGGAGCGAUCAAAUGGCUGGAAGCGCAAAAGUACAUUGCAAAAUGCAUUUUCAGCACCUUGCACUGGGUACCGGUACCAGUGUGUUGGGGUACCGGUACCAGAAGCACCAGCAGCAGCAGCUGCGUGGCAGCGAGGCUAUUUUGGUCUUUUCACUCCCCAAGAUUAUCUUUAAACCCCCUGGACGAACCCUGCAGCUAUCCAAAGGGUGCUGGAGCUCAGAGAAAGGGGUUUGCACCUCCCUCACUUUCUCUCUCUAGGUUUUCUCUCUCCUCGAAGUGAGCUUGAGUGAUUUGAGCUCCUUUCCUUUUUCCUCUCUUGUAACCAGCUAUUUUAGAAGGCUUGGAGGUUGUUGUUUGCUAUUGGAGAGACAGAUUUGGAGGUGUUCAUGCAGCCUAAACUCAACAAACCAUUGAGCUAUAACUUGGUAAGGUGAUGGACAUCACUUCUCUCUCUAGUUUGCUACUAGUAGUGGAUUUGAGUGGUUUUGGGUGUCUUUGCUGCCAGCAGGUUUGAGGGAGGGUUUUAACAGCUUUAGAGAAAUUAUUUGCUGUGAUUCUUCAGCCUUAAACCAAGGAUAAGCUGGAUUGAAGUUGGAAGGUGAUUAAUUAGCCACUUUUUCCUACUUAGAUGCUGAAAUUAGUGGCAGAUUUGAUGUCGUGUUGGCGUUGUUCACAGCAGGACAUGUUAACCAUGUAACUGAGUUUCGAGUAACUUUUGAAGCUGGUGUUGCUAAGAUCCUGCAAUUCGAAACCAGGGGAAGAGCUUAACUUAAGCGGUGAGAAGGUAAUUUGUUCAUUACUUGCCUUAUGUGGAUGCUACACUAGGUGUAUAGAUGAAAGUAAUGAUGUUGUCACGCCCCGAACCCGGUCCAAUUUGGCCGGUUCGGACUCGUCGAACAGAAGCCGAACGGACAGAGCCUCCCCCGUGCGCCUAAGGCUUAACAACAGGUAUAGAUAGAGUAAAAUUUGCACAUGCGGAAGUAAACUUAAUGGCUUGCACGAGGGGAAGCGAUAACCACAGUGAAAGUACUAAACUGAACAUCAACAAGUAAUAUGAUUAAAUUUAAAUCACAUACAUGCAUUCAACUUCGAAGUUCUUUUACAAUCUUUGCAUCAUUUCUUUUAUACAUCUCAAAUCUCCAAAAUAAAUCUUUACAUUUAACAUCAUAAAGUAUCGUUAAUACAUUUGCUCUAACAUCCCUAAUCAUCAUCAAAGUACAAAAAAUGAUAUAUAUAUAUAUAUAUAUAUAUAUAUAUAUAUAUAUAUAUAUAUAUAUAUAGAGAGAGAGAGAGAGAGAGAGAGAGAGAGAGAGAGAGAGAGANAUAUAUAUAUAUAUAUAUAUAUAUAUAUAUAUAAAAGGGGUAUGCAACUACAAAAUGUAAAGUAUCUCGGGUAGUCUCUGUCUAGGGCACGAUACCCUUACCGCGAUCGUCUGCCGGUUCGCUCGGUCCCGGCUCUGUGAAAAUAGUGGGGUGAGAACUACAACAAAGUUCCCAAUGGGUUCGGUAACCAACCACGCCGACUUUUCCACUAAGUCUAAAUCAGGCAUAAUAGAAGAAAAGAGAUAUAGAUAGUAACCGAACUAUACAAAUGCAGCUAAUAUGCCUGAACAAUAAUCGAUGUAAUGCUCAAUAGUAUGCUCAUAAUGAAUGCAAUAUCACAAUCUCAUUGCCCAUUCUCUUGGCUAACCCGUAGGUUUCGCCCUCAACAAACUCACCAACCCAAAUCCCUACUAUCGGGGAGAUACCCGCUACAACCCAAUGGGACCGUCCUUUGGGAAGAUACUCGCUACAACCCAGUGAUGACAACUCCGGAGUACAUCGCCCAAGGGGGAGCUACCGCCCUCGAGCAAGAACUAUGGGUGAGUACGAUUAAUCCUUAACUUUAAGGAUUUCAAGUUCAAUCCAUUUCCUCGCUUUAAGGAAAACCAUGCUCAUAUGACCCUUAGCUCAAAGGUUGUUAUAUCAUAAUGUCACUAUCACACAUUUACUUGCAUUCUUUAUUUUCACUAGUGUCAUAUACACUACUUGUUCAUGUACCCACAUACUCAUGUCACACUUGUUUUCUAAGUGUUCAACUCUAGUGUUCUUGACUCAUUCAUGUCACUUACUAUCUUAAUGUCAAUCAUGUCAUAUUUGUUCUCUAAGUCCACUAAGUUCUUGUCAUUUAUCAUGCAUACAUAGUGUUUGUUAAUUCUCACUUUCGUACUAGUAUUUCACAUGCAUUUGAUCUCACAACAUGCAAGGAAGCUCACAAGUAAUCCCUGUCGGAUCGUUGGCGCUAACCAUUAAUCCCAAAAGCUCGAGCUGUUAGAAAUACGCAACCAAUUCACUUAAAGCGUACAGAAACAGUGCCCAUGGGUCUCGAUUGUGACUCGGCCCACCUGGCCUCACGCCACUUCGAAUAUGACUCGGCCCAACCCAGCCUCACGCCAUUUCGAACAUGACUCGGCCCGCAUGGCCUCCCGCCACAGGGCAGAAUGCUGGCCCAUUUAAGCCAACAAUACUUGUCGGAUCGUUGGCGCUAACCAUUAAUCCCAAAAGCUCGAGCUGUUAGAAAUACGCAACCAAUUCACUUAAAGCGUACAGAAACAGCACCCACGGGUCUCGAUUGUGACUCGGCCCACCUGGCCUCACGCCACUUCGAACAUGACUCGGCCCAACCCAGCCUCACGCCAUUUCGAACAUGACUCGGCCCACAUGGCCUCCGGCCACAGGGUAAGAUGCUGACCCAUUUAAGCCAACAAAAACAUGCUUAUCAUGUAUGAUUAAGUGAAAUCUCUAUGUAGUAGAGAAAAAGGGAUUUUGGAAAUAACUUAUUCAGCAUGCUUAUAAUGAGAUUAGUAAAACUUGUGUAAACAAGUUAGAUACUGCAUCAUUCAAUAGAGAAUUAGGGUAAAGCUAUGAAUGUGACACUUAGUAUAGAAUAACAACUAAGUGGAGAAUGGUUACGAUAUUUAACUUUUAAGUUAAAGGAUGCUAUUCCAUGUUAUAGACAUGAUGACAGAAUUGCUAUGCAUAUGGCAUAUAACAAGAUUAUAUCUUUAUAUUGUGAAUUGAAUUAUUGAAAAUCACAUGUAGAAUACCAUAUAUGAGGUUUUGUAUACUUGUGUAGACCAGUUGUUCAUGAACUUUAUGCUAUUGAAAUUGACCUAGUUAAAUAACUAGAAUUGGACAUAUGAUGUAAAUUCUGACCUAUGGGUCGAGAGAUGAAAUACUUGCAUAAUCUAACAAAGGUAUUUGCAUAAUACUUGUUUACUUCAAGUAGAGGGUUAGAAAUGUAGAGCAUAUGCCAUGAUAUUAUAUGAAUAACAUAGUGAGUCAGUGAUUAUGGCUUGAGUAAACCACUUUUCCUAUGUAUAGGAAGUAGUGAGAGGACUAUAUGUGAGUAUGCGGAUGUAGCCGAUAGAAUCAGCAUUAUGAUGUAAAGCAUGUACUUAUUUAAGUCAUACUAUCUAUUGGUAAAACACGUCACCAAGUAGUUGAUAGUGGAUUAUGACUUAGUGUUAUAGUGUCGACUUUGUGUCAAGUUGAGAUUCCAUGUUAGAGACAUGAUGAACAUAAGAUACCUAUGCUAUGGAUUACGCUUGCUUGCCGUUGUGCUCAUUCGCACAUGCUUGUGAGGGUCGCGCCCCACAAGCCGGCACUCCGAAGUUAGCCUAGCGACAGAUUGCUCGCUUCUGUACGAGACUGAGCGCCGAAGUGAAUUGCCAUGGGUAGUGUUGACUUCAAUGGGGCCAUUAGUCAACGGCAUGAGCCGGGACUUUACCACGUGUAAGUCUCUUGUUAAUUGGGUUAACAUAAGUGAAUGUAACCUUAGAGGACAUAGUAGUGAAAAUACCUCAUGUCAUUAGUUGAGAUAUACCUAGUAAUGAACAUACUAGGAAGUUGACAUUCUUAUUAGUCAUUAAUGGUAAUGAUAGUAUUUGUAAGUGUACACUUUUGAUAGUGUAGGAAAUAGCUAUGUGAUGUUAUUAGCUAGUUAAACCAUAAUGACAACAUGUUGCAUGAAUCAUGACAUAUAGUGUAAAGAUACCAUUGUAACUAGUAUGAAAUAUCAUCUUGCAUAUGCAAAGAUUAGGAUGUAUGACAUGUUAGUAAACAUAUCAUGUGAAGCAGGGUAUAAUUGAAUUAUUGCAUCUUAUUGCUGUAUCUACUUGUUCUAUUUAUUAUAGUUUACUCGUGCUUCAGUUCACCUAGUGGUGUACUUCGCCACUCUUUGUAAUGUACUGAAAGUUAAUAUAAAAAUAAAUAUAAAUAAAAAUAAUGUGAGAUAUUAUUUUUAUUUGACUUAGAGAAGUAAAAUAUAAGUCUGGAAUGACUUGUGCUGAAAUUGGAAUGAAAACAGAAGAUUUAGAAUUUUCUGUUGGAAACGGGGCUGAUAUUUUAGCAGAAAAUACACAAUGUCAGAAAAUUAUGAAAACUGGAGGAUAUGUCAGAAUUAUUUUUAUGAGGCUAGAUUUAAAGUUUCAUGUCAUUCUGACACUGGGAAAGUGAAAAAUAAAAUCCGACUGUUAUCUGCUAGAGAUUACAGUUCGGUAGAGCUUGCGUGACAAAAAAUGAUCGAAACUGAAAAGUUAAGAUAUAUUCAGUUUUGUUAAGUUAAACCGAGUCUGACUAUUAAAUUUGAGCGUAAACGAACAUUCAGAAGGGCUCCAACGACUCUGAACUGCUAAACUGAACUGGAGAUGCAAAUUGUAAUAGGUAAGAGGGGUUUUGUGCAAUUGUUACAGCACCUAUAGGUGGCUGGCUGCAUGCAUACACACACACACGCACACACCUUCUCCCUCUCCCUCACACUUGCAACCAAGGAAAACUCUCUCUCUCUCUCUUAAGGUUGGAACCAAGAGAUGAAUUUGGUGGAGAUUGAAGCUUGACGGUGGAUUUUCAUCUUCAUCAUUUUCUUCCUCUCCAUUGGAGCUAGCUUGAGAGGUAAGCUUUGAUGCCCUUUAAUGGUAGAAUUUUAGGGCUUCAAUUAUAUGCUCUAAGAAUGAAUUUACUAGAACUCCUAGAUACUGAAUAGAGGAUUAAUGCUUAAAUUAUGAAGCUAAAUGGUGAUUUCUUGCAUAGUUGUAAUCUAGGGCUCCAAAAUAGAAUUUUUGCUAGUAGAUAGGUUUGAUCUAAAUUGAACCUAUAUAAACCUAAUUGCUAGGUAUACGAACGCGUUCGCGAAGUCGGUUCGGCGAUUCGUCGAGCCUAUGCGAAGAUAUUGAAGAAACGGUGUUUUUGGCUUCGCUUCUGCCUGGAGGGCCGAGGUGGUGUCCAAAAAUCAUGAAAGUGGAUCCCAAGCAUCGUGGCAUCAAGCUGUAGACCUAUAAUUUUAGGAUUGCGGAUUGGUGGCCGUUUGGUGGUCGAGUCCGAGUUCGAGCCAAACCGGGUGGCGGGUGCCGCGGGAGGCCGAUUGCAAGUGGCUACGAGCAAUCGGAACGCGAUAAUAGGUGGGUUGUGCUUGCCGAAGCGACUAGAUCGCCUAUAUGUCGAAGAGAAAUGUGCUUUCUCGUUGAUGCAUAUACAUAUGUGAUAGCUACCUUGGAUGAAUAUAUAUGCAUGUUAGCAUGAUUAGAAUAUGUGCAUGAUGGCAUCAUGAAUGUGUUAAAGUAUAUAAAUAGAAUGUAUACUAGUGGAUAGUUGCAUGCUGAUGCAUUGAAAAUACAUGCUAGAUGAUAAUGGCAUAUUAGCAUUAUGAGAAUGCAUACUAGAUGUAUAUGCAUGUUGGUUUCAUAGUAUAUAUAUGCUAGAGAGAGAAUAUAUGUAAGCAUGAUAGCCUCAAGUGAAUCAUACUAUAUGAUAGUUGAAUAUGCUAAUGGAUAAUUGCACAUUGAUGCAUUGAGAAUAAAUGCUAGUGAAUAGAUUCAUGUUGACAUGUGCUAGAACAUGCUAGGGCAUAUAAAUGAAUGUUAACAUAUUGUUAAUUAUGUGAGUUUAUGAAGCAUGUGAACAAAGUGAGCAUAUUGCUAGAUUAUGUAAAUAGGCAUGUGGCAUUUAACCUAGUGUCGUGGACCUAGGGUAGAUCGAGUGGCAUUAACCUAGUGUCGUGAACAUAGGUUGAACAAGUGAACCUAGAAUCAAGAUCUAGGUAGAUUGACAUCGAACCUAGUGUUGUUAAACAUAGGUUGACAUCGAACCUAGUGUUGUUGAACCUAGAGUUAAUCAGACCAAGGUGGGUGGCAUUAAACCUAGUUUAAAGAACAUAGGUUGUGGAUUGAACCUGGAGUUAAAUAAGCCUAGGUUAUGUGAUAAGGGCAUUAAACCUAGAGUCAGCUAGACCUAAGGUGGAAAGUGCAUUGGACCUAGAUAGGUCGAUACUAUAGGGUUUGAGAUUACCCUAGAAACUUGGAAAGUGGAUUCCGGAAUCCUAGGAUUGUGCACUCGAUAGUUCUAGAGCAGUGGGUUGAGUGUGGCAUGUUCUCCUCUCACUGGAUGAACUUCUAGGAUGAGCUUAUGGAAGAUUCUUGGCCGCGGGUUGAGUGUGGCAUGUUCCCCUCCCACCGGAAGAAUCUUGAAUCACUAAGGUUGAGUGUGGCAUGUUCCCCUCCCAUCGGGAAGAUCCCUGACCACGGGUGUACGCAGCUCUGGGCGACCCGUUGGGCGACGUGAUUAUGGAUUGAAGUGAGGUGCAAGUGAGGGUUCCUCCACCUCGAGCCGGACAUAGCGCGGAUUAUCCGCAAUUGAUUGACUCGAGGCCGAGUCGGGUGGCUAGCUUGAAUAAGAUAGAUGGAACCUUAAGGGCUAGUGGUACAUAGCAUGGAUCUAAGGUAGUAGAACCUUAGAAGCUAGUUGGUUGUGAGCUAGUUGGUGAGAUAGAAGUAGGAUUGGUAAAUCUACUUAUGAUAGUUGCAUUCUUGCAUGAUUCGCAUAUAGCAUGACAUUGUUGCAUUCGUGAGGCAAAAGCAUGUAUAUGUUAGUUGCAUUUCUUAUGAUAUUAUAUCUAUCUGUGGACUAACAUGUUGUUUGCCUCUUUUGGACCUGUUGGUUGAGCUUCUCCCUUGGGUGGCCGUACCCACCGGGAACUAUGGAGUUAGUUCUCACCCCACGUUGCGUUGGGUGUUAUAGAUUCGCACGUAAGCGGCGCGUCGGCGUGAAGAAAGGGCGUAGCUCCAUAGGUAGUGCCCUACCCCAGAGACCAGAGAUAGAAGUACCUCGAGUUGGCAUAGCCUAGGGGUGUUAAUUGUCAAAAGAAACAAAAUGUAUCCAACUUGCAAUAAUUGUAGUAAUUCAGAUUGUAUUUGGAGGUUAAAAAUGUAAUAUGCAAUUGGACGUAAAAGUUGAAUGUACCUAGUGUGAAUGCUUGUAAUAGCAAGUAGUUUUAUAUUUUUGAUACUUACUUAUGCAAUCUUUGAUUGAAAUGUGUUCCUGGUUGGAACUUCAUACAUUGUAUUGAUUGCGACGCCUAGAACGUACAGGGGAGACUCUGUCCGCGGUAUAGGGAAAACCCUGUCCGUUCGUAUCACGCUCCGGGGCCGAUUUUAAAAACCUUUUUAAAAUCCAUUACUAUUUUGAAAUCAGAGUUGCGAAAAACGUGCCCUUUUUUUUUCAACCUGGCCCACGUGACAUACAGACCCGCCACAAAUACAAAGUUCAUCUGUCCACUCGGACAGAGUCUCCUUUGUAUUUGCACGGCGUACCAAUAGCUACAUCAGGGUCUCAACUACAAUCUACAAUUACGAAUCAACAACCAUGUCAAGACCCGCGACCACCCGCCUAUUUGGCCGAGGUCGCGGCGCCGCCGACAGACCGCCGAACGGACAGAGUCUCCCCUGUACGUCCUAGGCGUCGCAAUCAAUACAAGUACAAGAAGUUCCAAUCAGGAACAGUAUUCAAGCAAGAUUGCAUAAGGAAGGUAUCAAACAACAUAACACAUCCUAUGUUAUUACAAGCAUUCCCAUUAGAUUCAUUUUUACAUCACAUUACCAUUAUUACAUUACAUUUUCUUCCAAAUACAAUUAAUGAUCGCAAUAUUAUUACAAGUUUGCUCUUUUUUUUUUUCCCUCUACCCCUAGGCUAUGCCGACUCGAGGUACCUCUAUCUCUGGUCUCUGGGAUAGGGCGCUAUCUAUGGAGCUACGCCCUCGCCUUGCGCCGCCGCGCCGCUCACGUGCGAACCUGUAACACCCCAAAACAACGUGGGGUGAGAACCAACUCCAUGGUACCCAGUGGGUACAGCCACCCAAGGGAAAAGCUCGACCAAUAGGUCUAAAGAGGCCCUGCAACAUGUUAGUCCAACAAAUAUCCAACAGAUAUAUAUAUAUUCAAGUAUUGAAAUACAUGUUGUGCCUCACAAUAUGCAGUAUGAAAUUCAUGUAGUUUACGCAACCAUGCAACCAACUAGUAGUUCAAUCGAUACUAUUUUAUUCCUGUCAUUCACGGUUCAACAAAUUGACUUCUAAGUUUUCCUCUAUUUUAGAUUCUUGUCAAUUACAAUUCUGCUCAUAGGGUUUAACCUGCUUUUAUAAGCUAUCCACUCGACUCGGUCUUGAGUCAAUCACACGCGGAAUACCGCACAAUGCCAGGCUCAAGGUGAAGGAUGUCUCACGUGCACCUCAGCCCUAAAUCCACUCAACUAGGAUGCAACUAAAACUCAUGUAAUGCAUCAAAUAGUAAAGGUUUACUAUUAUGUUAACGAAUUCAAUCCAUGUUCAAAUAAUAAUGUUCAAUGACAUUAUUCACUGUUCUUUUACCCAAUCUGUAGUGAAGCCCUAGGGUUCGCCAAGAACUCACCUUUCAAUCCCAAAGUGGGGAGGGAGCUCCAAGUGCACCCAAGCCUGGGACCGUCUGCGGACCUCCAUGUGGUCCGGACCUCCAAGUGGUCCUAGUCGUGCGACACUCCGGAGUACUCGACGACAAUCCCCUCCAUGUGGGGAUUGGAUGGCUAUACCAUCCCAAACGCAGACUGUGAGCUAAAUCUAUCCUCUCCAAGUGAGGAUACCCUACAACUAGGGUCAACAACCCAAUCCAAUCCUCUCCAAGUGAGGAUGCUCUAUAACUAGAGUCAACAACCCAAUCCAAUCCUCUCCAAGUGAGGAUGCCCUACAACUAGGGUCAAUAUCUCAAUAACUCAUCGACCACUUCUUCAUGUAAGGGUACUUAGGUUUACUAAGUUCUUUAUCCACAAGGCAUUUUCUAAGGGAUUCACCUAUCCCUAGGUUCUCAAACCUCUAAUGUCAAAUACACUACAUUAAUGCCACUCGAUGUGUUCUUGUUUUUCAAUGUCAAUUUCUCUAAUCGACCAAGUUCAACAUGCAUAAUUCAUCCACUAUGUUCCACAAUAUGGCAACAUGUAUAAUUCUUCUAUCAUAUGCAAUAUAUGUCAUCAUGUAUAUGUUUCUAUUUAACAUAAUCCACAAUAUGUUAAUUCACAACAUGUCAUCAUGCACAUUAUAUGAUAUGUCAACAUACAUUUAAUCAUCAUCCAAAGUAGUCUAUACUUAGCAUCUCAUGCAUUCUUUUACCAUUUAAUUCAUUAUACAUUUCAUCUCAUUGGUAGGUAAUAUCAACUACAUAAUAUGUUUCAAGCAUUCAUAUUAUCAUGUAAGCCUACCAAUACAACUAUAUGCAUCAAUGUGAACUCGUAUGUUUCUUAAACAUAAAGGGCGACCUAGUCGCUUCGGUAAGCACAACCCACCUCAUUUCGCAUUCCGAUUGCUUGUUGACACUUGCAAUCGGCCUCCCGCGACAUCCGGUGCUCGGUUUCGCCGGAACUUGCAAUUGCGCACCAACCACGCAUCGCUUCGCAACCUCGGGCAAAAAGGGUCUUCGUUUUGCUGUUACGGUGCUUCAAAUCCGUUUCCAGGAUUUUACGACGUCGCCUCGGCCCUCCAGGCGAAAACGAAGCCUAAACGUCCGUUUCUUUAAUAACUUUGCACCGGCUCGACGAAUCGCUGAACCGUCUUCGCCAACGCGUUCGUUCACCUAGCAAUUAGGUUUACGGAGGGUCAAAUUAGAUCAAACCCUUAUAUUUUACAAAACCUCAUUCGGAGCCCUAAUAUGCAAUUAACCUCAAAAUAAUCCAAAUUAAAUGGAUCAACAUGCUAAAAAAACUCAUUAGAGGCUAUUAGAACACUAAGCAUUAAGGAUUAAGCCAAAUCCCAAAAGCUUAUCUCAAUGUGAACACCACAACGAGAACACGCCGCUCCAACGGCCGCGCAAAAGCUCGAUCCGUCGCUCCCAAUGCGUUCGCAAGCAUCAUCUCUACCAACCCCACGAAUUUGAGCAAGAAAUAUAGAGAAAUGAGAGAGAAAUCUAGAGAGAGAAAGAAGCUUUCUCUCUCUCUCUCACCAUGCGCACGAGAGGGUGGUGGGGUGCUGGUCGGUUGGGGAAGAAGAAGCAACAUCUUCUUUAUAAUACACCCUAAAACACUAUUCACUUCAGGCAGUUUUUGCAGUUCAGAAUAGUUUGAGCCCUUCUGAAUGUCCGUUUGAGCUCAAAUUUGACAGAGAAGCUCAGUUUAACGUACUGAGUAAGAAUAUAUUUUAAGUUUUCAGUUUCGACCCCAUUUGGUCACCGAAAACUGUACCGAACUGUAAUCUUUAUCAGAUAGCUGUCGGAUUUUAUUUCUCACUCUACGGGUGUCAGAAAAGUAUGAAACUUUAAAUCUAGUCUCAUAAAAAUAUUUCUGACUUAUCCUCUAAUUUUCAUAAUUUUCUGAGACUGUGCAUUUUCUGCCUAUUUAUCUGUCCCGUUUCCAACAAAAAAUUCUAGAUCUUCUGUUUUCAUUCCGAUUUCAGCACAAGUCACUUCUGACUUAUGUUUUACUCCUCUAAAUCCAAUAAAAAUAGUAUCUCACACUAUUUUUAUUUAUUUUUAUUUUUAUAUUUAAAAUCCGGUAUAUUACAUUCCACAGCAACCUUAUCGGAACCAUAAUGGCUUUCCAACUAAAUGUACACCGUAACUUCAUAAUUUUAGAAGUCCGGUACCUUACAAACCAUUUCAUGAUAUGCAUUUUCAUACGGCUAACGAUCAUUAGAGAUGAUGCAUGCCUCUAAGCACUCCUUAGGCGCCGGAUGAUGCAAUGCAUAGUACAACAAUCAUUCUAUUUAAAAGUGCUCCCCACUUGGAAGUUUUGUUUUUAAACUCUAAUUCAAUCAUCAAUGAAAAUCAUUCGAAAACCUUUUUAAAAUUGUUUCCCACACGAAAACUCUAUUUUAAAAAUCAGCUACCUCGAGGGGUAGAAAACCACGAUGCGUAAAUCCAUAAAUACGAGAACCAAAAACCACAGAUCUGAAAACUCCAAUCUCAUGCAUCAUAGUAAAUCAUCCACUAAAACCAAUUCACGAAUAUUCAAACAUCAAUAUGAUCAUCUAACUGAACCAUUUAUUAUUAAAAUUACUAAGUGCCGAAAUGAAAGUAACCAGGGUGACGGUUGCUAUAUCAGACUAGCUAGAUCGUCCCCCCGUCGAGCCCAAAAUCCAACUCCUCGUCCAUGUCACCUGGGGGGGAUGGGGGUUGAGAAACUGCAACCAUGGUUUCCCAGUUGGUACAACAGAGCCACGAAGGCAAGCCGUAAUCAUCGAAACCAAAGGAGAUAGACAAAUAAGUAUAGAUGCUGAUAUACGAAAACGAACUACAGUAGCUAUAAUAGAUAUGAACAUGAUAUACAAGCAACUACAGUAGUAAUAGAAACAGGAUAAUAACUGAGUAAGAACGAAACUACUACUGUAACAAAAACUCAACUGAACGGAUGCCUCAAGGGUAAAUAGUCCAAAAUCAAACCCAAUCUAAUGCUGCUAUAUUAGUCCACAGACCUCAAGCAUUGCUUGUCACAGAGCAGACACUGCCAACUUAUUUAUGCGUCACCGACGACCUAUCCGGAUACGUACACCCUUUGGUUGGUGGCCAAACCAACUUGGUGUCUAGAAUACACAGUGUUUUGACUAAAUUAUGCUGAUAUACUCAAAACGAAAACCAGCAAAAAGAGACCGGUGCCUUGGCCGAAGCCAGAUGUAAGGGCGUACAAUGCCGAACCACAAUCAACCAGAUCGAAACACACGACAAGGAGUCGAUGUGUCGCCUGGACCCAAGGUUCACAGAGAUACAAUAUAUAUGCAAUCUGCUCUACAUGUCUAUCCACAACUAUCCAAAUGCAAUCAAUGAGAUACGAUAAACAAACGAUAAACAAUCAACUGACAUGUAGAGACUACGAUACUGAUAUGAAAGAACAGAGGAAUGGUGAAAUGAUCUCACCGACUACUAGCUCGAAGCACCCACCUGUCACUGUCGCGUCGGAACACUGAGUGCGCACGGAGUCUACCGGACCUAAGAAGAUCCACUAAGUCAGUAUCCAAACCACUAACCUGAAGUACACAACUCACAAACCCCCACACAAGUCCCCGAAUCGGUUUUCCAAAACCGAUCACCGUAACUUACCGGAAAUCCCGAAAACCACGUCGCGACGCCGUUGGGACCCACUAAGUCUCCCGAAACUCAUCGUCUCGUGUCACGAGUCACCCGUUGCCACAAAACACUCCUGUUUGGAUGUCUUGGCAGCAAACACAAGAUAACACCACUACACAGUUAUCGCCGGAUAAUUGUAUGAAUAUGGAUUUUCGGAAACGUCUAUUUCGACACCGAAACACACCGUUGCUCACCCAUCAUCACCGAACCCACAAAAUGACAAUGGUGACUAGCCAACAACGCUCAGCGACAAUACACAGGAUAAACAAACCACGUCGGAAGAAAUCCGAACUGAAACCGCGUUCUUUCGGUGAAUUUCGUCGAAAAACGCACCGAAAUCGACUUCUCGAUUUUCGCGAAGGCUAUUGGAUCAUGGACAAUCAGUCCAGAGAUUACCACACAAGAACCAAUAAAUAAUGGUGUUUUGUGGCAGCAGGUGACUCGUAGUAUGAGUCGGUGACUUCCGGGACAGGUCAUGGGUCCCGGCGAAGUUUCAGUGCGGUUUUCGGGACUCCCGGUGAGUUACGGCAAUCGGUUUUGGGAAACCGAUUCCCAUAGGUUUAUUAGUGGGGAUUGUGAGUUAGUGCUUGGUGAUCAUGGGUUGAACACUAACCCGGUGGACCCUCCUUAGGUCCAGUUGACGUUUUUUCGCAGUCAGGAUACAGGCGUGACUUUCUUACAGGUGGGUACUUCGAUCCGAAGUCGGUACAGUGGUGCACGCUCGGUUGAACACUAACCCGGUGGACCCUCCUUAGGUCCAGUUGACGUUUUUUCGCAGUCAGGAUACAGGCGUGACUUUCUUACAGGUGGGUACUUCGAUCCGAAGUCGGUACAGUGGUGCACGCUCGGUGGUAUCCUUUUACCCUUACUCUUUCGUUAUUAUUAUUGCAUAGUACAUAUAUUGAGCCUUGCACCCUUGUUGUUCUAUUAUACUCUACUCGUUGUUUGCAUGCUUAGUAUCCUGAGUAGGAGUAGAGUAGCAUUAUCUACACUUGAUAUCUAUAGAUCUAGUUGGUCGGUUCUGGUAUCUAGUACUGUGACCUAUUCUGUCAGUUCCUUGACUUCUGUUGUUCGAUGACCUUUGAGGUCGGUAUACCCUGAGGGGUGGGAUUGUCGGUUAGUUGCCGACGGAUGAUUAUAGUUUAAUCAGAUCCACUAUUUGACAUGUUUACGAUCUAGUCAGCCAGUUCAUGACUUUCAUUAUUUGAUGACCUUGAGGUCGGUGUACCCUGAGGGGUACGAUUGUCGGCUAGUGGCUGACGGUAGUUCUGGAUUAUAUACUCUGGUGACUUGUUGAUCGGUUCUUGCGUAUAUACUUUAGUUGACCUAUUGAUCAGUACUUGCAUACUUUUGGGGGGAUGUUAAGUUGUUCCAUUUUAGUUGACCUGAGUGGUCGGUUCUUGUGCUUCCAUACAGUUUGAUGACCUAUUGGUCGGUUUGCCCCGAGGGGCGGUGAUUGUCGGCUGGUUGCCGAUGGUUGGCCAUUGAGCAUAUCAGCAUUGAUAGCCCGAAACUCGUUUGCAUUUCACGAACACCGGCGGUCUGAUCCACCGCGGCUAGGUGUUCUUUUCCGGAAAAGUGGUUGCAGGUGUGAACCCGUGAGCUCAAGAGGGGUUAUAUGCAUGGUAGAGUGGCAGUGGGCACACGCUUGAGACCUGUGGUGCGAACCAAGAGAGCACAGAUUUCAGAUUGGGUAUAUUUGGACUUCUCGUCCGGUUGACGUAUAUAGCUAUAGUAGCGGUUGUUGCAUGUAUACUUACAGUUCUUUCUUUACACUUGUCUUGCUACUAUAGUUUUGAUAUCCAUGUAUACAUUCAGUUCUUCGUUACAGUAGCGGUAGUUAUGUACUCUGUUAUUUUCUAUUUCCUUUCAGUUUAUGGUUACUGUAUUUGUUAUAUCUGCUCAUGACCUUAUUUAUCUCUUUCUGAUCCGGUGAGUACUCCUCGCCUUCGUCGGCUUGUGGUACCCACUGGAAGGGGAGACAUGUUUACAUGUUCUCACCUCCCCUACCAUUUUUCAAGUAUUGCGGGCGAUGAGGGUUGAGACGAGACGUGAGACACGUUCGUAGCGGUCGAUAAAGCUUCCGACCCGGUUUGUUUGGUUUAGUUGUUACCCUCUUUAUUUCUGUUGAUAUAACUUAGACAUACUGGUUCAGUUGAUUUUGUUUACUUGGAUAAAUAUGAUUUUCUUAAAUGAAUUAAAGGACUUAUGGUUUACAUUGAGAUGAAAAUAAUUUUCUACUCCUCGUGGUAGCGUGUUUUUAAAAAGAAAAAUGUUUCCGUGUGGGAAACAGUUUUUAAAAGGUUUUCUCGUGGUUUUUCAUAACUUAGUAUUUCAAAACCAGUUUUCGGGUAGAAAACUUUUUAAAUAAUAGUUGUGGAUUUAUGUUUAAAAUCUGAAAUAUGAAUCUGUGGUGAAUGGUGUAUGAAUAUAUGAAUGGUUGAAUGUUUGUAUAUUCAUUUGUGGUGGUUGUAUCCUGAUUAUACAUCUUGUAACUGUGCGACGCCGAACAAAGACAGGGGAGACUCUGUCCGUGUGAACAGUGGACUCCCUGUAUUUGUGGCAGAUCUGGCAUGCCCUGGGGGUCAGGUUUUCAAAAAAAAAAAAUUGAGCGCUUCCGUAUUGCUUUUAAAUAAAAAAAGGACCCCGGGGCGUGACAAAGAGCGACCCACUGGAGGAUCAAGUAACAAGGUCAAGUGUAAAGCAGGCUAUAAUCGAUGCAAGUGAUCAAAUAGAUCAUACCAACCGCUGUCAAAGCAACGUUGGCACUAUCCGAUGCAUAAUCUUCUAAUGCAACUCGCCGUCUAAACCCAUGGCUAAGGCGACAAUAGCCAAUCAGCCCCAACAUCAGACUAAGUCCCAUAUUCUAGAUACAAUUCACUUCACACUACCCUCUACUACUUGUAGUUCAACAAUCCUGAACAUUAGGCCAUCAACAUGAAAACAAUGCACACUAGCACUAGGUUCAUGUUGUAGAAGCAUAUAUCAAUUUUCUAGCAUGAGUAGUAAAAUGAGUAAAAUGUCAAUCUUAACCACAUUGGCACUUUUUUCAUGAAAACUCAACAUAAUUAACCUACUAGAAGGUUUAGAAUCCAAAUGUAAUACAAAAGUUGAAUAAAUAUAGACAUAAUGUGAAGUCCGAUAUUUUCGACGAAUUCAACCCACCAUAUGCACAAUCCGGCAAAAAGGAAUGAAGAAAGCCCCAUCUCAGCCAAGAAUCUAGUAAGGAAAUACCAACUAAUCACCAACUAAUCAUCUACAACCAGCCCAGGGAGCUACAAAAUAAAAAAAUCCAACAUCGGGUAAAAUCUGUCAAUUCCAGCAAAAAAUAGAUUUUCACAAAAUUGACUAAUCAAACCUACUCUGGAUAGCAAUUCAAAUCACCAGCACCUUCUCUAACACAAAAUCAAUAGGAAAAUAUAAAGAAAUAAGAGACCAUGGAUUUGUUGGCCUAGUGGCCCUAAUCCUUCGUUAGAUUUUGAUGAUAACAAAUAAUUACGAUUAUUGGACUAAUCUUUUAUCUUCAGUUUUUGUGUUUUAGGCCUUUCUAUCUUCAAAAGGACUCAAGAUGGGCAAUCUUCUAGCACAAAGCUUCACCACUUUAAACUAUGUUUGCUUCUUUUGUCAAAUAGACAAACUCACUCUCUCUAUUCUUAAUUUGAUUAAUAAUAUGCUUUAUGAUUAGAGUCAGAAAUUUUGAGCUAAGUUUGAUCUAUUCCUCUUAUCACUUUAUAGCUCAUUUGAACAAAUCUCUAACUUGUGAUAAGUGGUUUCUAUCUCCUUCUAUAAGGUGCAUAGGAUUUUAUAAUAUUUAAAAUCUGCUCAAAAGUUCUCUAUCAAGUUACUAUUCUGGACUCUAUUCUGGGUGCCCUAAAGUGGAUCCGAAUCUCAUGUGUUUUUGGAUCCGGCCUGUUUGCUGUUCGAGUGGCCCAGAAAUUUCUUUACCUGAUCUGGGCGCCUGAAUGUCUGUUUAGGGCGACCGAAUUGUUUGACUUGACAGGUUGCGUGUUCCGGACAGUACGACAGAUCGGUCCAAAAAGUUCUGAUGCGGCACUGCGCAGGUGCCGUGCGUGCAUGGAAAUGUUGGGCGUCCAGAACUUCUGGAAGCCCAAAUGUUCCCGCUCAGAGAAUACGACGCACGCGGUGCGACUAUGUCAGAAAAGCUGUCGCACGUGAUCUGGGCGCUUGUCACGCCCCAAGCUCCGCCUAUUUGGUCGGAUUCGGGCACACCAACAAACCGCCGAACAGACAUGGUUUUUUCUGUACCGCUGACAGAGUUUUUCCUGUACGUCAAAGGCAUCACAAUCUAUACAAUGCGCUAGGUUUCAACCAGGAACAACAUACAAACAAAGAUUGCAUAAGGAAAGUAUUAAAACAUAAACACUAUGCUAUUACAAGCAUUUCAACUCACAUACAUUUUACAUAUUACAUCUUUAAUUCUUUUUAGCUUUCAAAUACAAUCAGAUUUAACAUAAUUAUUACAACUUGGUUCUUUUUCCUUUUCACAUCCUUAAGUAGCCGACUAAGGGUACUCCUAUCUCUGGUCUUAGUGGUAGGGCGCUAUCUAUGGAGCUACGCCCUUUCCUCGCGCCGCUGCGCCGCUCGCGUAUGAACCUGAAAUCCCCAAAACCACGUGGGGUGAGAACUAUAUAAAUAUAGUUUCCAGUGGGUACCGCUAUCCAACGGAAGAGCUCGACCCACUAGGUCCAAAGGAGGCACUGUAAACAUAUUAGUCCAACAGAUAUCCACAGAUAUUUAUACAAGUAUUAAAUACAUGCGCAUGCCUCACAAAUGCAACUAUGCAAAUCAUGCAACUCAUACAAGUAGAUCACUUGACUCUACUCUUUGUCAUUUAUCUUUCUUUUUUAUUUGCAAUUCUUUAUUGCUAACCAUUCUUUACUACUUGCAAUUCUUUAUUCUUUACCACUCUUUAUUCGUUGCUAAGGGCACUCUUAUCUUAGCCAUACUAUGCUCAAUUGCCGUUCUUUAUUCUUUGUUUUUCUUUUCUAAGGUUUUUUUUUUCUUAGCCAACUAUGCCACUCGACUCGGUCUUGAGUCAAUCAUCUGUGGAUAAUCCGCGCUCUGUCCGGCUCGAGGUGAAGGAACUCUCACAUACACCUCAGCCUUCAAUCCAUAAACCACAUCGCCCAACGGGUCGCCCAGAGCUGCGUAUACCCGUGGUCAGGGAUCUUCCCGGUGGGAGAGGAAUAUGCCACACACACCCGCGGCCCAAGACCCCCGAUAGGGAGGGGAAUAUGCUACACGCACCCUAGCGAUCCAAGAUUCAUCCAUAAGCCUAUCCUUGAAGUUCUUCCGGUGGGAGGGGAAUAUGCCACACGCACCCACGGCCAAGAACUGUCGAGUUCACAAGUCCUGGGAUUCCGAAAUCCACUUUCAUAUCUCAAGGGUUGGUCUCACCCUAUGUUGACAACCUUUCUAGGUUCAAGUCACUCCUCAACCUAAAUUUAAUAACAUUAGGUUUACUGCCACUAUACUCAUAGCCUAGGUUCUACAAAUGACGCACCUCGCACGGUCGAUGGAUUUUGCCGUGGGGUAAUACUAGGUCUAUUUGUCUACCACCACAAAUGACGCACCUUGCACGGUCGAUGGAUUUUGCUGUGGGGGAGUAUUCAUGAUUCAGAUUAGUAUUUAUAUGUAUAUGGGUAUCAGGUAUCGCGGGUCAUGGCUUCUAAUAGAUGCAAGCAUCUAUUGUUAAUUCCUCUCUAUAGAUUGGGGUACCUUUGAUUAAGAGACCUUUGUAAAGAUAGGAUUGAAUGAAUCAUAUCUUGAUUUAUUGAAUCCUAAGUAUAUGUAUUAGGAUUCAGUUGGAUUUGAAAUUGACCAGGUCUAAGUAUAUGUGUUAAGACCUAGUCGAUAUUAAACUCUAUAUAUUAGAGUUUAAUUGGCUCUAAGUAUAUGUUUUAGAGUCCGAUUAUAUUCACCUUGGUUGUUUAUUUUAAGGUGGAGAUGUGAUCAAACCCCAAGUAUAUAUAUUGAGGUAGGUCGGAUUUGAUAUUACUCGAAAGUAGAGAAUGGCUAAUUCCUAACUGUAUGUAUCAGGGUUAACCGAGUUUAAUAUAUUUUUCACUCUAGUUAUAUGUGCUAAAGUGAAGAUCUGACUAAGCCUUAUGGUAUUGCGUUAGGGUUCGUCGGAUUUGAUUUCAUGAGCUCUAAGUAUAUGUAUUAGAACUCGAUCGGGUAUGGAUUUCACUCUAGAUAGAUGUGCCAGAGCAAAAGGCUGACUAGACCCUAAGUAUAUGUGUUAGGACUAGUCGAAAUUGGUUUGACUUCCACUCUAGGUAUAUGUGCUAGAGUAAAAGAUUGACUAGACCCUAAAGGAUAUGUAUAAAGGGUUAGUCGGAUGAAUUCUAAGUAUAUGUGUUAGAGUUCGAAUAAAUUUGAUAUCAUUUGACUGAAUUCUAAGUACAUAAUUGAGAACUCUGUCGAUUUGGAGAUAAUUUUGCCUUAGUUAUAUUUACUAAGGCGAUUGACUUAGCCCUAAGUAUAAGUAUUAGGGGUAGUCGAUAUUUGAUUUUUACUCUAGAUAUAUGUGCUAGAGUAAAGAAAAGGUUUAUGAUGAACUUUGGGCAUGAGAUUUGGGUAUUGCUUCAUGAGAUUUGGGUAUUGGUUCAUGAGAUUUGGGUAUAUAGGAUUUGAAUAUGAUUCAGUUCAUGAGGUUAAGAUGUAAUUCAUGUAGUUCAUGAAAUUUGGAUAUAGUUUGGUGCAUGGCUCAUAGGAUUUGGUAUAUGGUUCAUGAGGUUUGGUAUAUGGUUCAUGGGAUUUGGUCUAUGGUCUUGGGUUAUGGUUUAUGGUUCAUGAGGUUUGGUGUAUGGGAUUUGGUUCAUGGUUCAUGAGAUUUGGUUCAUGAACUUGGUUUAUGAUUCAUGAACUUGAUGUAUGAUUUAUGAGGUUUGGUUUAUUUGGUUCAUGUAUGGAAUUGGUAUAUGGUUCAUGAGAUUUGGUUUAUGGUUUAUGAACUUGGUGUAUGGUUCAUGAGGUUUGUUUAUGGUUCAUGAACUUGGUAUAUGGUUCAUGAGAUUUGAGUCAUGAACUUGGUGUAUGGUUCAUGAGAUUUGGGUAUUGAAUUUGUUUCAUGAACUUAAAUAUGGUUCAUGGGUUUAGUAUAUGAACUUGGUUUAUGGACUUGAUUCAUGAUUCAUGAACUUAGUUUAUUUGGUUCAUGAACUUGGUUUAUGGUUUAUGAGAUUUGGUUCAUGAACUUGGGUAUGGUUUACGGGUUCAUGAAUUUGGUGUAUGGUUGUAUGGUUCAUGAGAUUUGGUUCGUGAACUUGGAUAUAGUUUAUGGCAUUUGAUAUGGUUCAUGGGAUUUGGUUCAUGAACUUGGAUAUAGUUUAUGGCAUUUGGUUAAUGGUUCAUGAGAUUUGGUUCAUGAACUUGGUGUAUGGUUUAUAUGAUUUGGUCCAUGAACUUGGGUAUGGUUCGUGGUGUUUGUUUCACGAACUUGGCUUAUGAGAUUUGGUUUAUGGUUCAUGAAACUUGGUUCAUGAACUUCGGGUAUGGUUCGUGGUGUUUUGUUCAUGAACUUGGAUAUAGUUUAUGGCAUUUGGCUCAUGGUUCAUGAGAUUUGGUUCAUGAACUUGUGUAUGAUUUAUAGGACUUGGUUUAUGGUUCAUGAUUUGGUGUAUGGUUUAUGGUUCAUGGUUUAUGGUUUAUGAACUUGGAUAUGGUUCAUGGGAUAUGGCGUAUGGACUUGGUUCACGAACUUGAUUGUAGGAUUUGGUUCAUGAUUCAAGGAAUUUGAGUUCAUGAACUUGGUUCUUGGUUCCUGAUUCAUGGGAUUUAGGUCAUGAACUUGGUUCAUGAAUCCAAGUUGGAAGUCGGGUAUGGGUUCUAUUUAUGAUUGGGUUUGGAUUUAAGGUUAUUUGUGGAUUGGAUUGGAUUUGAGUUUGAUUUUAUUUGUGGACUUGAUUUGGUUUGAGUUUGGAUUUGAUUUGGAUUUUGGGUUUUUAUUUGUGGACUUAGGUUUGAUUUGGGUUUUAUGGGUUUAGGUUUUGGUUUUGGGUUUCGAUUUAUUUGUGGACUUGAUUCGGGUUUGGGCUUGGAUUUUAUUUGGGUUUUGGGUUUGGAUUUAUUGUGGACUUGAUUCGGGUUUGGGGCUUGGAUUUUAUUUGUGGACUUGGUUUGGAUUUGGGUCCGGAUUUAGGUUUUGGGUUUAUGUUUUAUUUGUGGACUUGGUUUGAUUUGGGCUUGGAUUCAGGUUUGGAUUUAUUUGUGGACUUGAUUCGGGUUUGGGCUUGGAUUUUAUUUGUGUACUUGGUUUGGAUUUGGGUCUGGAUUUGGGUUUUGGGUUUGGAUUUUAGUUGUGGACUUGGGUUUUCUUUUCAAUUCUAUUUCGGGUCCAAGGAAAUCCUCUUUUGAUUUUGUAAUUCGAUUUGGGGUCCGAAGAAAUCUCCUUUUGAUUUUGCAAUUCGAUUUGGGGUCCGAAAAAAUCCCUUUUGAUUUUACAAUUCGAUUUGGGGUCCGAAGAAAUCCCUUAUUGAUUCUAAUUUGAUUUGGGGUUCGAAGAAAUCCCCGUUUUGAUCUUGAUUUGGGUUCGAAGAAAUCCCCUUAUUGAUUCUAAUUUGAUUUGGAUUCCGAAGAAAUUUUCGUUUUGAUCUUGAUUUGGGGUCCGAAGAAAUUUUUGUUUUGAUCUUGAUUUGGGGUCCGAAGAAAUUCCCGUUUGAUUCAUGAUUUGGGGUCCGAAGAAAUUCCCGUUUGAUUCUAAUUUGAUUUGGGGUGUGAAGAAAUCCCCGUUUGAUUUAUAAUUUGGGGUCCGAAGAAAUCCCCGUUUUGGUUCUGAUUUAGGGUCCGAAGAAAUUCCCGUUUUGAUUCUAUAGUUCGAUUUGGUUCGGGGUCCGAAAAAUGGGGAAUCUUUGAUUCCCUUCCCCUCUUCUUUCGAAAAUACCGAACCGACGAUGCUGGAGAUGACGGCAAUGAAGAUGAUGUCGGUGGCGCGGAUCUGUUUGGCCGGUGAAUUUGAUUCGAUAUUUUCAAAAGAGAUUGAAGGGUCCGAAGAAACGGGAAAUCUUUGAUUCCCCUCCCCUCUUCUUUUGAAAAUACCGAACCGGCGAUGCUGGAGAUGACGACGGUGAAGAUGAUGUCGGUGGCGCGGAUUUGUUCGGCCGGUAAAUUUGAUUCGAUAUUUUCAAAAGAUGUUGAAGGGUCCGAAGAAACGGAAAAUCAAAGAUUCUCCUCCCUUCUUCUUUCGAAAAUACCGAACCGGCGAUGCUGGGGGUGGUCGCGGCAAUGUAGAUCACCCAUUCAAUUAAUCAACGGCUUCGAAUGGGGUAUUGAGAGGUCCGAAGAAAUAGGAAGCCAUUGGCUCCCCUCCACUCUCCUAUCGAAGUCGUCUAGACGGUAUGGAUGACUACGGUAGCAGGACCUAAAAAAAAGAAAAAAUGGGAUGGGGAAGAAAAUAGAUCCAUUUUUUUUAUUUUUAUACAUUUUUUUUUAUUUUUUUCCUUCUUCAUUUUUCUUCCUUUUUUUUCUUUACUUGUUGAUCAAAUGACGGAUUGGAUGAAGCGGCUCGACGAUCUCUUCUCCUUUCCGCGGCUCGGCGAUCUCUCCUUCUUUCCGCGGCUCGGCGAUCUCUCAUCCUUUGAUUUUUUUUUUAUAUGUCGGAAUGUGUGUAGCAAUCUAUCUAUUUUUUUCUCUUCUCCGUCUAUCGUCCGACGUUUGAUUUUGAUUAUCAUAUUUAUAAUAGAAAGGGUAGCGAGAGAUAUUUUGAGGAAUCAGUUAACAAUUCGAAAUUCGAAAUCGAAUUUUGAAUCGGUUGUUGUGGUUGGUUGGAAGAUAUUUUGGGGUUGGUUGGGAAUUCGAAAUUUGAAAUCGAAUUUUGAAUCGGUUGUUGUGAUUGGUUGGAAGAUAUUUCGGGGGUUGGUUGGCGAUUCGAAAUUCGAAAUUGAAUUUGAAUGGGUUGUUGGAUGGUUAGAGGAUAUUUUGGAAAUUGGUUGGGGAUUCGAAAUUCAAAAUCGAAUUUUGAAUCGGUUGUGGGAUGGAUAGGUAUUCAAAAUUUGAAUGGAUGUUGGUUGAGAGAUAUUUUGCGAGUUUGUUCGAAAUUCGAAAUCGAAUUUCGAAUAGGGUUGUUAGGAUAACAAAUAUUUUCUAGUUGGUUGGGGGUUUAAAAAUUUAAAAUUGAAUUUGAAUAUGAUAUUCGAAAUUGAAUUUUCAAACGUGGGUAAAAAUGUGGGCCGUGAUCCCAUGAAUUGGGCUAAAAUUGGGCCCACUUUGAUGAAACUUGUUGGGCACAAAUAUUCAUUGGGCUGAGAUGAGGCUCGAAUUAUUGUAUAGGCCUAAAAUUUUAAAGGGCUUUCAUGAGGCUCAUUAAUUUACAUUUAUGAAUGAGCCUAUUAUGGAUUUAAAUUAUUGGCCCCAAAAUUCCUUGGUCAACAUGAGACCUAUUGGGAUUGUAUGAGUCCGAAUUUAAUUGGUUUUGAUUAUGAUUAGGAUUACUUUAUUCCUCUUUUUUUUUUUUUUUACUUCAAAAACACUAUUGUUCUUACUCACCUAGGUUCAUCUGACUUUAGGUUCAAUACCACUCAUCACAUAACCUAGGUUUUCUUGAUUAUAGGUUCAACUCAACUCAUCUCAUAACCUAGGUUAUUUAACUCUAGGUUCCAUUCUCAACCUAUGUUCAAUGACACUGGGUUCAAUGCUACUCAUGAUUCACCUAUGUUCAAUAAUACUAGGUUUCAAUGCCACUCAUGAUACUUGUUAUCCUAGUUAUCCACACUUAGGAUUCUUUACAUGUCACACUUGUCAAAUUCUUAAUUAUACUUAGAGUUCAUCAUUCAUAUGAAUCUAGCAUAUGCUCACAACAUAUCAACAUGCAUGUGUUCUCUAGCAUCUCAUGCACAUGUCUAGGUUCUUAUAAAAAAUGGUAGUCAACAUAUCUCAUGCAUUCAUUGGCAUAUAUCUUAUGCAUUCAUUAUUAUCUAUCAUAUGCAUUCAUUAGCAUUUAUCUCAUGCAUUCUUUACUAGUAUAUAUCUCAUUCAUUCAUCUAGCAUUUAGCUCAUGCAUUUAUUUAGCCUCUAUCCCAUGCAUUCACUUAGCAUCUCAUGCAUUUAUAUAGCCUCUCAUGAUAGAUAACAAAUAUCAAGCAUAAUAGGAUUUAUGCAUUCAUACUAUCAUGUACAACCUACCAACUAUACAUGCAGCAACAACAUUCAUACUUCACUUUGGCUUGGAAGUGACCUCACUUCGGUGAAGCACAAUCCACCUUUAAAUGAUACCGGAAUACGAGGAAUUCACUUCCCACGAUUUAUGAAGGAUCGCAAUUAAUCCUCGCUCGCGACAAACGAAGCUAAAAUGAGGUUUUUCCUCACUAGCUUGCCGUAGGCUCGUCGGAAUGCCGAUCCGAGCUUUCCGACGCGUCAAUUUUACCCUCAAUUACGUUUCCACGCGAUCAAUUUCCAGUUAGACCUCCUGUCACGUCCCAUGACCCGCCUAUUUGGUCAGAUUUGGGUCGUCAACAGACCGCCGAAUGGACAGAGUUUUUCCUGUACGUCCUAGGCGUCGCAAACAGUACAAUACAAGAAGUUCCAAACACAAACAGUAUUCAUACAACGAUUGCAUAAGGAAGGUAUCAAACAACAUAAACAACUAAGCUAUUACAAGUAUUCACAUCACAUGCUUUUUACAUAUUACAUUUUUAUUUUUUUUCUUCCAAAUACAAUCAAGAUUACACAAAUAAUGCUUUCCUUCUCUUUUCUACACCCCUAGCUAGGCCGACUCGGGGUAAUGCUAUCUCUGGUCUCUGUGGUAGGGCGCUAUCUACGAAGUUACACCCUAUCCUCGCGCAGCCGCGUCGCUCACGUGUGAACCUGUAUCCCGAAAAACAACACGGGGGUGAGAACUAUUAUCCAUAGUUCCAGUGGAUACGACUACCCAAGGGAAAAAAAACUCGACCCACCAAGUCCGAAGGAGGCACUGCAACAUGUUAGUCCAACAAGUAUCCACAGAUAGAUAUAUUUGAUCAAAUAUUUUAUGUAACUAACAUUUAUGAUAUUCAUGCCUCGCAACAUGCAACAAUGCUAACCAUGGAACUCAAUAUGCAAUAAGGUAAGUAGAUCUACUAAUUCUACUCGCUAUUCAUAGCUUAUCCAAAUGACAUCUAUGUUUUCCUCUAUCUUAGAUUCAUGUCAAUUACAAUUCUGCUCAUAAGGUUUCAUCUACCUUUCCAAAGCUAUUUACUCGACUCGGUCUUGAGUCAAUCAUCCGUGGAAUACCGCACAAAGCCAGGCUCAAGGUAAAGGACAUCUCACUUGCACCUUAGCCUUAAGUCUACUCAACUGGGAUGCCAACUAGGAUGCCAAUCCACUCUGCUGGGAUUCAUCCAUAGCUCACAAGAAUGUCACCCAAUCUCACUGGCUAACCAAAAGGUUAAGCCCCGACUCACUUUGAAAAUCUUAUAGGUAAGGAGAAACUGCACUCGCACACCGAGACCGUCUGCGGGACAACUACGUCUGCCCCGGGACAACUACGUCUACCCCUAUCGUGAAGUACUCCGGAGACAACUGCUUGGGUGGAGCGACCACGCCAAGUGAAAACAGACUAAAUGAGUAUGAUCCAAUCCUCUCACUCGAGGAUACCCUGUCUACCAGGUUUAACAACGACACGGAAAAUCCAUUAAUCCCAACAAUAAUGUCACAAGUGUCUCUACUACACUAGUUUCACGUGGCACAUAUCCACGACUUGGGAAAUCAUCUAUCCCUAUGUUCACGUCAUAGUGUCUCUACUACACUAAUCCAAAUGCCACUCGAUCUACUUGACAAUCUACUAGUCCACAUCGAGUACCAUAGUUUUCAUGUUCUUGUUUUCCAAUGCCGAAUUCUCUAAUCCACCAAAAGUUAUCGACCCAAGUCCAACAUGCAUAGUUCUUCUAACAUAAUCCAUAUAUGUCAACAUGCAUAGUUCAUCUAGCAUCUCAAGAUAUGUCAACAUGCAUAUUUAUCUAACAUAAUCCAUAUAUGUCAACAUGCAUAGUUCUUCUAACACAAUUCAUAUAUGUCAUCAUGCAUUCAUUUAGCAUUAUGUAAUCAUGCAUUCCAUCUAAUAUUUUUACAAUACAUCAUCAUGUACUCAAUGGUAGCCUAACAUAGCAUUCGACUUAUGCAUUCAUAUGUUCUACAACCAACUACCAUUAUAUGCAUCAAUAAUAAACAUCACUUCGCUUUGACAUGGAAGUGAGCUAAACAUUUCGGUGAGCACAACUCACUUCGUAACGCUCUUCGAUUGCUUGUCGACACUUGCAAUCGGCCUCCCGCGGCACUCGUUGUCCGGUUCGGCCGAUCUUUCAAAUAAUCACCUGCCGUGCGUUAAUCCGCGGCCUCGGGUUUUAAAGGGCUUCAUCUAGAUGCCGCGAUGCCAUAAAUCUGAUUUCGUGAUUUUUAGACGCCGCCUCGGCCCUUCAGGCGGAAACGAAGCCAAACGGUCCUUUUUUCCAAUAUCUUUGCGUAGCCUCGACGGAUUGUCGAACCGUCUUCGCCAACGUAUCAGAAAACCUAACAAUUUGGUUUGUAUAGGGUUAUACUAGAUCAAAACCCUCUAAUUUUCAAAACCCUUAUUCUAACCCUAGCCUCUAUAAUUGCUCCAAAUAAUCCAAAUUAAAUGGAGAAAACAUGCUAACAUCACAUUAGAGGCUAUUAGAACAUCAAAUAUUAAGGAUUUAGCCAAAUUCUAAACAUUUACCAAAUUUGCGAAUGCCGAGUCGAAAGCAUGCUGCUCAACCGGGCGCACGAAGACUCGAACCGUUGCUUCCAACGCGUUCACAAGCUCGCUCUCCGCCAACGCCACGAGUUUGAGGGAGAGAGAGAGAUGAGAGAGAUAUUUAGAGAGAGAAAAUGAGGGUUUCUCUCUCCCUCUCCAUACGUGUGUGUGUGUUGUGGCUGUGGGUUGCUCGGUUGAAGGAGAAGAAGAAGAAGACAACUCCUUUUUAUAGUAAACACCCUCAAAAUACUAUUCACACUAGCAGUUUAGCAGCUCAGGAUCAGAUACUUUUCGCCGGCCCUUCUGAAUGCCCGUUUUUGCUCAAAUUUGACAGUUAGGCUCGAUUUGUGCUAAACAAACGGAAUAUAUCUUAACUUUCCAGUUUCGACCAUUUUUUGUCACCGAAAGCUCUACCGAACUGUAAUCUCUAGCAGAUAGCAGUCGGAUUUUAUUUUUCACUUUCCAGAUGUCAGAAUGACAUGAAACUUUAAAUCUAGCCUUAUAAAAAUAAUCCCGACAUAUUUUCAGAUUUUCAUAAUUUUCUGACACUGCAUUUUCUGCUAAAAAUACAAGUCCCGUUUCCCACAGAAAAUUCUAAAUCUCCUAUUUUCAUUCCGAUUUAAGCACGAGUCAUUCCAGACUUACAUUUUACUUCUUUAAGUCCAAUAAAAAUAGUAUCUUACACUAUUUUUAUUUAUACUUAAUUUUAUAUUACAAUCUGGUACAUUACACUUCCAAUCCUAUAAAGUUGCAUUUUGAAGCCUUAGCUCCAUAUAUUUUCUACAUACACAGGUUCUAUAAGAACAUAUAGAACAAUACAAACCUCAACAACCCAACAAUCUCAUACUAAGUAAUUUAGAGAUACAAGAGAUUAACUCCUGUCACAUUCAUAUCUCAUACAACUCUCAUAUCUCACCCAAGAGUGCAUAAUUGACACUCAACAUAUAGUUUCCUCUAGGUUCUCAUGGCAAAACAUGCUUUACAACUUAAGAAACCCCAAACCAAAUCCAUUUUAGGGUUAAUAUAACAAUCCCUAACAUAGGAAUUUAACCAACUUUACCUCAGGUUUUAUAUUUCAAUACGUGACCUUUGUUCUCAAGCUCCUUCACAUCAAGAACAUAUAGAAUAACCCAAUUCAUACAUAACAUCCUUACUACUCAACACAUUGCUUGUUUUCAUGACAAAAUAGGUUUCACAUGGCAGCAUAAGCUUUAGAAGCCAAACAAAUCCAUAGUUUAACCUCUAUGAGAUCUAAAACUCAACCCUUUAUAGAAUAGAUAUCAUAAACCUAAUAAAAAAAUAGCAACCCUGCCUCAAAUCUCAACUCCAACAGGUUGCUUCCCUGCUAUAAACCUUCUUUUCAGCUCUACACAUCAAACUCCACCACCUCUCUUCUCAAACAACCCACCUAGCUUGCAGAGGGAGAGAGAGAGGAGAAGAAAGAGAUAAAAGAGGUGAAGAUAAGGAUGCCCCUGUACGCAUCAAGUUGGUGGAGGGCUGGGUUUAAAGGAUAAGUCCAAACAACUGCUGAAAACCCCCUCCACAAAGUUGAAAUUUUCUUUACUAAUCCGUUCCAAUUUCAGAAUCUGAUACUUUUCGCCGCAGCCCUUAUGAAUGUUCGUUUGUGCUCAAAUUCGACAUUCAGGCUUAGUUUAAAUUAAUAAGAAGAGCGAAAUCUUAACUUUCCAGUUUGGACCAUUUUUGGUCACCGAAAGAUCUACCAACUAAAAUCUCUAGCAGAUAGCAGUCAGAUUUUAUUUUUCACUUUUCGGGUGUCGGAAUGACAUGAAACUUUAAAUCUAAUCUCAUAAAAAUAAUUUUGACAUAUUCUCAAAUUUUCAUAACUUUCUGACACUGUGAAUUUUCUGCUAAAAGAUCAGCCCCGUUUCUUACGAAAAAUUCUAAAUUUUCUGUUUCCAUUCCAAUUUCAGCACAAGUCAUUUCUGACUCAUAUUUCACUUCUUUAAGUCCAAUAAAAAUAGUAUCUUACACUAUUUUUAUUUAUACUUACUUUUAUAUUAAAAUUUGGUACAUUACAGUGCCCACAACUUCUAGAGGCCCGAAUGUGCGAAUUCGGAAAAGCGGCGCACGUUGUCUAACAGGCAGCUAGAAGCACAGUGCGCGUGCACAACUUCUGGGCACCCGAAAUCAAGUUUAGGGCGCUCGAAAGUGCAAUGGCCUGGAGCUGGCCGAGGCUAUGAAUAGAUGGUUUUGAGGCCUUUCUCAGCAGUAAUUUGAAAGUCUAUUUGAGCUUAAAAAUUUCAGUGUUUAUAAUACUCUUAGCUCUCAAUUCUCUCUCUAAACUUGAGUGCAAUUUGUAGUGAGAUAUAAUCUUGUAAAAGAGAGAAAAACAAAGUCUUGGAGCUUGAAAAGAAUAAGGUGUUUGUGUGAAGGCUUGGUGCUUGUCCGCAAAAUCAUCAUCUAGUGGAGAUCCAACAUUCUCUAGUAUUAAGAAGUUGGCAGGAACGUAGGCAAAGUGCCGAACCUCGAAACAAAUCGAUUUUGUGCGUUUUGAGUUUGCAUUUCUUUAAACUCCCCACUUUAUUAUUUGUUUCGGGUUUUUAAAUUGCUUGAUUAUUUAACCUUUUAUUUUAGAAACCUAAUUCACCUCCCCCUCUUAGGUUGCCAUUUUGAUCAUCAAUUGGUAUCAGAGCAAGGUCUCACAUUAUUUAGAUUAAAAUCUAAGUGAGAAUGGCAUCUAUGGGAAAGAAUAUCGAAGGACAAUCUAUUGUUCGGCCACUAUAUUUUGAUGGGACCAAUUAUCCCUUUUGGAAGAUUAGAAGGAAGAUAUUCUUUCAAUCUCUAGAUUUGGUAUUUGGAACAUAAUCGAAAGUGGUUAUAUUAUUCCAUCAAAAUCUAGAGCAGAAUGGAAUGAAGCCGAAAAAUUUUGCUUUCAAUUGAAUGCUAAAACUUUCAAUUCAUUCUUUUGCGCUCUUAGUAGAGAAAAGUUUCAUCGAAUCUCUACAUGCACAACUGCUAAAGAGAUUUUGGAUAAAUUAGAAGUUACUCAUGAAGGUACUUCUAGGGUGAUGGAAUCUAAAAUAAGCAUNUCAAUUGAAUGCUAAAACUUUCAAUUCAUUCUUUUGCGCUCUUAGUAGAGAAAAGUUUCAUCGAAUCUCUACAUGCACAACUGCUAAAGAGAUUUUGGAUAAAUUAGAAGUUACUCAUGAAGGUACUUCUAGGGUGAUGGAAUCUAAAAUAAGCAUACUUAUGUCAAGUUAUGAACUAUUCAAAAUGGAGGAAAGUGAAUCCAUUUCGAAUAUGUUCACAAGAUUUACCAACAUUAUAAAUAGCUUGAAAACCUUAGGUAAGGAUUUUUCUCAAUCGGACUUGGUACG